rnacentral:lncRNA from 1 species
AAUCUGCCCCAGACAAGUUCUGGUAAGCAUGCCACAAUCAAGAUAGUCUUUCUCUUUUCCAUGUUAUGCGUGGGCAAUAAUGUUAGAGCAUACUUGCCUAACAUGGGUUGAAGCUUUUCAUACUGAGUUGUCUAUGAAGAUAAACUCGUGGUUAAUCCAUAGAGUUCCCGUGUUUCCCAUAUUAUGUUCAUGGAUUUGGAAACCUAAGAGUUCCAGAAGGACACAUGAUAACUACUUAAAAGAGCUUAAAUCAACACUGAAGCUUUUUCCAGACACAAAAAUCAUCGGUGGUCAACUUGUUUUCAGCUAGGUUAUCUUCCUCUCUGUCUGGUCAGGAUUGAGAGGGAGACAAUUAGCAAUUUUGAUAUUUCUACAUCAGAACUCUGUUUUCAGUCUUUGACAUUUUCUGCUGAUAUUUUCAGUUCUUUGUCAGGGGUUUUGGCGAAAGGGGUGUCAUUUGUAAGAACAAGUUCGGGACAAAGAAGCUAUGUUUCAGGCCCACUAGAGAAGCUACGUCUUUAUCUAUUAUACCUCUGUGGCCUCUUCGUGUUACCAUUUGAGUAUGUGAGAAGGCUUCUACAGAGUCUAAAACCGGUUAGAGUGCGAGCCUCUCCCACUUCAGCCAGCAUGCAGUGAACCCUCUUUUUUACUGGUAAUUUUCAGUUUGCUUCCCGAUCUUUCUUGUAGAACAAAAACAACUAGCUAGAAAACAAUACAUAAUAUCCUCACUGUUUCUAUCCCUUCUUUUUGCAGGGUUUCACCAAUUUGUCGCGCUAAUGGCGUGGCACUUUGUGUUUUAAGCAGUUUGCUUACAGGAUUCUUGAGUAAAUCUACUAAAAGUUACACAAAAGAUAAUAAAUAAACCCGAAUUUGCUGUGGGAGAUAUCAGAACAACCGAUACAACAAAGCAAAUUAGUCAUAUGCAUAUGGAAGGGAAAGAAUAAACUGGAGAUGGCCUUUGCUUUUUUCACUAUAAAAAAAUUAUGCUAACAGAUACCACUAUACCGAUCUCUCUUGCAGCACAAACACAAUGAAAACAAUUCUCAAGGAGGGAAUCCUGUUUUUGCAUCUAAGGCAGUAAAUAUCGCUGCUUAUAUUAUUAUUAUUUUCAACACUUGUCAGUUAUCAAAGAUUAAAAACGCGACUUAUAAAUGUCAAAACCCAACAGAGGAAUGGCUAUUAAGGACCAGAUUGGUUGACAUUUGAUGUGGCUUCUAAAAUAAUCAGACUUGAGCUUUGCCGGAUACAUUAUUAUUUAUGAGAUAAUGAAGGUAACAUCAAAUCACUUUUAAAAGAUUUUAUUGAUCACUUAAAAGAGUCUUUGGUGUAGUGGUUGGUUUGUUGUUCUAAUAAGUGACAUGUUUAAGGUAAUAAGUGACAUGUUUAAGGUUUUAUGACGACUCAAAAUAUUUUUUUAGAUUUAUUCCUCCAUAUAAAUAGGAUUUGAUUUCCAAUUUGAAUUUCUCACGACCAAAUUCACGGAUGAAAGUUGAACAAAAAAUCUCAGUUUAACACCAUCUGUCAAUUUGGUUUGGGAUUGCUAUUUUCAAAAUGACUCUAGGUGUUAAAUAAGUUUUAUUAUUGAAAUUAAUAACCUUGAUAGACAUAAAUUUAAAAUAUAUAUGAAAAAUUUUUAUGUCAAUUUUCAAUUAUAAUUUCUCUAAAAACUAUUUUAAAAAACGAAGAUAGUCGUACAUUACAAGAUAGUCAUAGUAAAAUCUCCCUAUAAUAAUGCUUUAUUAGGAAUAACUUUAAAUUUAGUCAUCUUAAAGAAACUCAUCUCGACAUAGUCAUACAUUACAAGAAUAUAUGUUAUGUUAGAUUAAAUUAACUUACUUCCACAUAAUACAAUUACACGAGAGAAAUUUAUCAAAGUGAAUAUAAACAUUUAGAGAUUUUUAAGAUGACUUUACAUAUUUCUAACAAUGGUACAUAGAUAAUAGAUAUAUUGGAUUUGACAUGCUCCAUUGGUAAAUUAUUAAUACAGUGUAUAUUUUACCUCUAUAUCUUUGUAAUAAAGAUAAUUAAGUUAAAAAAAUAAUUUUUGUAACUCCACCUCUAUUGAGUUAUAAUCCGCUCAUAGAAACAAAUUAAUCUGGUUUCAAUAUUACAAAUAUAGAGAGAUUUCGCUGUAAUAUUUUUGAAAUAUAAGGAAAAAAAAGUAAUAAUAAAAGUUGUGCUAGUUUGUUUUGAAAAAUAUAUAUAUAUUUUUAAAGAAAACAGCUUAAAACAAUAAAAAGAUGUUUCUCACUGGAAGAAAUAAGUUUUUUAGAAACAUCUAAACAAAAUGUUCUAUAAUUUUUGAAAAUAGAAAACAGAAACUGUGGUAACAUUUAUAUUAUUCCUUCAAAAUCCAUAGUGAUCCUGGACAUACCGUAAUGUAAGUUGAUACUUGAUCGUCAUCACUUUUCACUUUCACAUGAUCAAUUCUAGAAACCCUAAAAAAUAAAUACUUGUAAUUAUUAAACAAAACAACAAAAAUAACAAGAAGAAGAAACGAAAAAUGUAAAGAACGUACCUGGAUUUGCUUGGGAGCUGCAGAAGUUAGCUUGCGUUGUGAUUGGGAAGGCGAAUGAACGAUUGAUUGAUUGAUUGAUGAAAGCAAAAAGUAGAGCAAAAACAUCGAAAUGGAAAUUGUAAGUUGAAAUGUUUUUCUAGAGAGAGAGAGAGAGAUUCUAAAAUAACUAAUUGCGUUGGUGCCAAGUAAUAUUCCAAAUUAAGCAAUCAAAGAUUCGAAACGAAUGAUGCCAAUCCAAUUACCAAAUGUACCCCUUAGGAAUAUCCCAAUAUGAUCCUCUAGCAUGCGCGAUGCAGAACCAAACAAACAAGUUACCGAGUACCGACUUACCUUGCCUCUCGAGUCUUUACUUGCAAGUCUUUCAAUUGAUGACUCAAGUUCCUACCAAGCACACCAAUGGGUCUUUGGUUCAGUGGGAGAACCCUUACACUUACAAUAUUAAAUGGGAGAGCCCUUGCACUUACAAUGUUAAGUGCAAGGGUUCGAGCCUCCAUAAAAAUAUUUAUGGAGAUUAUUUAAAAUCUUCUCUCAAUUAUCAAAUAAUUGAGUGGAGCCAGUCUAUCCCUCACGAAAUGUGAGUGGAGUGGACAGCCAUCGAAUAUUUGAGAGGGUUUAAAGAAUUUGGGCAGCGUUUUGGAGGAGUACAUGCCAUGACGAAGGUCCCAAUUGUAGAAUCUGUUUGUAAAUAUUAAUUGUAAUAUUUGAUAUAAUAUCAGUAACAGUCCUGUAUAACAGUAUUAAAAAAAAAAAAAGUUCCUACCAAGCACUCCAAUCCAUACGUCAAUUUAUCUUUGAGAAAUAACUAAUAUCAUUUUACUCAAUAUUUUUACUUAUAAAUUUUCAUUUUAUUUACCAAUAAUACAUUAAUCUAUCAGUUUUAUGUUAAAUCUAUUUAUUUUAUUUUUUAUUUAUAUGUUAGUAUGUUUCAUUUGUAAAAUUUAUGUUUUAGUUUGUACUUAAUGUUGAUUUAUUAGUUUUACAUUAUAUUUGUAAGUUUUAUUUUAUUUACUAGUGAUAUAUUAAUUUAUCAAUUUUAUAUUAGUUUACUUAUUUUAUCCUCCAUAUACAAAUCUUAUAUUCUAUUUCCACAGUUUAUAUUUUAUUUUACAGUUUACGUUAAUUUACUAGUUUUUAUACUAUAUUUAUUAAUUUUUCAUUUUAUUUACCAAUAGUACAUCAAUUUACCAUAUUUAUGUUAAUUUACUUAUUUUACUUUUUAUUUACAAGUUUUACGUUCCAUUUCCAAAAUUUAUGCUUUAGUGUCCACUUAAAUUGACUUACUAGCUUUAUACUAUAUUGGUAAGUUUUUGUUUUAUUUACUAGUAAUACAUUAAUCUAUUAAUUUUGUAAUAAUUUACUUAUUUAUCUUCCAUUUACGUUUUAUUUCUAAAUUUUAUGUAUGUUGAUUUAAAAAUUUUAUGUUAAAUUUAUGAGUUUAUGUUUUAUUUAUAUAAUUUAUAUUUAAUUACAAUAUUGAUAUUAUAACUUUAAUCACGACAAUUAUAAAAUGACCUGAUAAGAAAAUAACUAAUAUCAUUUUUCUCAAAAGUUGUACUUAUAAAUUUUGGAUUUAUGAUAAGCUUUAAAUGUUAAAAAUUAAAAAAAAAAAGUUACUUAAAAAAUCUAUAUAUUAUCUAAAAGAGUUGUACUAAAAUGCGAAAACUCGGCUCGUGCGGGUUCAACUCAAAAUGAAAAAAAAACUCGGGCCGUUUCCCCUAUUUUAAACCCUACUGGCUAAUUUUAAUAAAGUUUUGCAGCGAAGAAUAUAAGUGAUGGCAGCUGCUCUACCUUCUGAUGCAUUGCAAUGGGAAUUCAGCUGGUUUUAAUUCUCUCUCUUAGCUGUUUCUGUUUCUUUAAUUUAACAUUUUGAUAUGUAUUUAUUAUGCCAGAGUUUCAACUAAGUAUCCAUUUACUGGGAUUUUCCACUUUUUGAAAAAUGUUAAUUUUCCUUUAUUUAUUCAAUAUUACUAUCUUCCUCUGUGAAAUUCGCAAAAAUUUUAUGCUUUGGUUGGUUUUUCAAUGUGGGUUUGUUCCAUUUUGUUCAUGUACUGUUUGUAUAUAUGAGAGGUUUGGUUUCUGAAGAUGGGUUUCAGUCAAUUGUCUUCAAAGCUUUAUUUCCUAAAAGAGGAAAGAAAAAAAUACCAAAAUGUUUAAUUCUACUGUUACAUGUUAGCGUUCUUAGGUUCUGCUAUGCUUUGUAUAUUUCUUAAUGUUAGAAAGAUGUGUUCUUUUCUAAUAUGAUUGUUUAGGAUGAAUAUGAGUUGCUUAUCGAGUUGCAAUAUAUCGAAUAUAUUGAAGACAACCUGCUUCAUGGGUUUUGAUUCUAUUAAUUGUUCUUAUUUCAAGUAUGACACGAUUGCAUGGGUGUUCGAUGAGGCUAAUAGCGACUUCUUAGGGUUGACGCUAUAAGUUUCUUUUCUUAUUGUCUAGUAUCGAAACUAGAAAACAAAAUUUAAAGAUAAUGCUUACGAUACGAAAACAAAUGUUUGUGACAGUAGCUUGAACAAAAUAGAAGGAAAUCAAUAAGAAAAGGUUAAUUCUAGGAAAUCUAGACCUCCAAAAUAGUAUUGGUUAUUUGAGAAACUAAUAAACUCCCAAAAGACAACUUUCAACUUGCGAGAAUAGUAAUACUCAAGACACUCUUUUAUUGAAUAACAUCAAGCUUUAAAUAAAAUUCUAGUUCAAAGUAACAAGCAUAAAAGUAGCAAGCAUUAAGCAUGUUCUCCAUCAUGCUCCAUGAAUCCACAAAAUAAGGAACCAGCUAACAACUUAAUUUUGGCUUAUUAAAAACCAACUACAGUCAAAAUAUAAAGUAAAUAACUAAAAUAAAAUUAUAAUGGAAAGAUUGUAACAGUUUUUCUAAUUUUCUGUUAUGGUGUUUACUGUAAGUGAUGGGCGGUGGCUCAUAUUGUUAAAUUCUGGAUUGAGCAAUUUACUGGGCAUGUGAACUAAUUUGUAAUUUAGUUAUAUGUUGUGUGAACCAUAAAAAAACAAAGGGUAAAGUCAGUGGUAAUAUUAUCAGAAUAUUGGAAUUGUUCUAAAAGAUUUUUGAAUAAACUGGCAACGAGGAAAAUAUAAUAUUGGAACUUGAGUGGGUGAAUUGUUCGCAGUUUUGUUUGUUGAGGAACACAACAGAGCAUCUUUAAUUCCUGCGUUGUUUACAAUUGAUUUAUUUAUUUUUUUUCCCCUUAACGGUGGAGUGCUCUCUGUCCACCUUUCAGAAGUUUUUUUUAGAGGAACUGUACCUGAAAUGUUUUGUUGUUUCUUAGAAAAUGGUUUUUCCCAUGCAGUGACUUUGAAGUGGAUUACGAGUCCAAUGAGAAUGCAUCAAUUGUGUAUGCAGCAUUAGCUGUUGAUAAGGAGGUGAUGCAUCAUGAUCCUAAGAUCAUACCUUGCUCCUUUAACUUUAUUGCUUCUUCAAUAAAUUCUUACUUGGAUUCAAUUUCUCAAUGCAGUUGCAACCAGACAAAGUGAAAAGGCAGAUAUCUGUCGUUAAUGGGAAACUUUUAGUGUAAGUUUCUAUUCUUUGAUCAUUCAUGGUUGGAAGACUCAUUACAUAACUGAUUUUUCAUUCUUGUUCAAUAUUCAUUCAAUUUGCACCUACCAGUUUAUCAAAUGAGACAUUAUUCAUUUGGAAAUUUUGUGUGGCCUGUUUAAUUUUCAUUUUACCUUCUUUUCCUGCCAAAUUUUCAAAUAUGUUACUUAAGGAGAGUCCUUCCUCUAAAAUACCAUUUUUCUUUAGUAUAUCAAUUUUGCCUGGACUUUGCAGUUAGAAGUUCUAAGCAAUUGAGUUAUUUUUCUCGUAAGAUUCAGGCAAUAUAAGGCAGUUGAGGCCCAGGUAUUUUCGUAGCAUCUUUUUAUGCUGUUGUAGAUGAGCUUACGCUCGGGACAAAAACAAUCGAACAGUUUGGUCAAGGAAUGGAAUUAUAACAUUGUACUGUCUUUGGCAGUUGGUGAAUCAUUCUGAGUAGGAACUGUAUUACUUUAAUAUGCCUUCUUGUUUUGGAUUAGUUGACGUUUUUGUAACAAGAGAAUCUAUAGUGUUAGUUUUACAAUUUAAAUCUUAAAAUAUGGGAAAGCUGUAACAAAUUCUUCAAAGCUGUGAAUUAUAUUUUGAAAGAAUUAGCAAGGCUGACAUUGAGCAACAAUUUUCUGCAUACAUUUUAUCUUGGGCAGAAUCAUCAAAAGUAGAUGCAUCUUUAAAUCUAGAAUAAAAGCAGGUUUGACUUGUAUUAUAAGAAAUUCAAAUGGGGUGUCACGGCUGCUUCCAUCACUAGGAAAACUUGCUUAGAAAAUAUGGAGAUUGCUGAAUGCUUUGGCAAUUCUUGAUGGCAUCAAAAUGGCAGUUGAUUCUGGACUGCACCCACCACUAACUGUUGAAUCUGACUAUUUUAAUGCAGUGAAAUCAAUCUUAAAGAAGAGAGGAAUGCUCAGUUAUGUAAGAAAAGGGAAACAAUUUAUAGUCGCAACACACUCAUCAAUAAUCCCAGGAACCUCUUAUUAUUGAAUUACAAUUUUUAAAAUCCAUUCCAGAAUACAAGCAUACCUGUCCAAGCAAGAUACUCGAUGCUCUACAUCCGAAACUUCAUCAACCUUUGCAUCUGAGAGAUCAUUAACCUUACAAGUCACAGAACCCAAAUGGUCCACAGUAUUGACAGAGCUUUGAUGGCAUAAUCUUUCAAUGUUUCCACCACUCUGCAUAAAUGUGAAGAUGGUUUAUUUUCUCAAUAGAAAAUUGAAAUUAUCAGCUGUAAUUAGAGCAACUCACAUUUGUUUUUGGUCAUCACUGGUGUACCAUAGUUCAAGAUAUUCGGCCUCUGAGUAUAACACUGUUCUCAGGUUUUUCAAAUCCUGAAAGUCGCUUGAGUUAAAAAAAGACCAAAGUAAAUAUUUCCUUAAGAACUCAAAUCUAUUACAAAUUGGUGCUUUUGUAUUUCCAUAAAUGGUUAUCUACUCCAAGGCUUGUGGAAAACUGAGUAAAAUUUGGAAAUUGAUACACGAUCCCCCGUUUGAAUCAUAUAAACAAGUAUCGCAUGAUUAAACAAGAAUUGGCUUUGAAGACAUAUGCCCCUAUUUGCCAGAAGGAAAAUGCUUAAUGGCUAGAAUGACAAGAGAAGGGCGAGAGAAACGGCAGCUUGUGCUGCCGUUUCUCCCCCCACUAUCACGCGUCAUUCUAGAUAAAAUAAUAAUAAAAAAAAAUUUCUGCCUCACCAAGAAAACAUAAAUAAAGCAAAAAGCUAUGCCAACAUGUGGGGAUAAUAAUAUCUGCUGCAGCCAAAACGUCGCCACUCUACUUAGAAACAAAAACUACCCUUUUCUUCUGACAUUCUUCACUCCUUCUGAGCUUCUUUACUCAAAUCUUCCACUUCACUUAGAAACAAAAAGCUACAUUUCUUCUGAGCUUCUCUUCCAGGAGUGGGUGAGAGUGGAUAAGCUAAUAUAGUUAAGCAUGUCCGUUAAUUGAAUCCUUAAACUAAUUCAGGGGAAAAAUUAAAAAAAUAAAAGCAAUUAAUUGAAAUUUUGUCUGCUGAAAUGUACUACCAAGUUCUCUGUUUGAUUCAAUAGAAAUGCAAGAAGUUCAACAGUAGUAAAUAUGUGGCGCCGCAGCUACAGUGAAAUUUAGAGAAAAUCUUACUUCUUAUUAGACAUGUACAUCUAUGUAUAUAAACUUAAGGAAUCCCUUGUGCAGGAAUGGGGCUUUGAACUUCCAGAAGAGAUCAUUACCAACAAUGCAACAAUCAAACGCACUAACUUUUUACCAUCAACGGCUUUAGGUAAAGUUGGGGGAGAAAAAGUUCUUGGGAAAAUUGAAACUCCGUUUGAGAAGAUGAAAGUUGCUGCUUAUACACUUAGUGCUAUUUCACCCUGCAUGAGGCUCUUUGAAGUUAUCGCUAAAGAGAUCCAGGCUCUUCUAAAUCCUGAUGAUGGAAGUCACUUAUACAAGAAAUUGAUUGACUAAUUGGGCGAUGACCGUGUCAUCGGCGGUGGUUGUGUCGUCAUCAGCAGUAUUACUAUUGAGAGAAGGAAGAAAGUGGCGAGGACGGAGGGGAGUGGGUGAGAGUGGAUAAGCUGUUAGAGUUUUUGAUUUCUUAACGUUUCUCUAUUAUUUUUUAUUAAUUUAUUAUUAUUAUUAAUUUAUUUUAUUUUAUUUUUUUGUCUGGAAGGGCACGUGAUGCUGCCGUUUCUCUCGCCCUUCGAGACACUUACCACGACUCUUGCCACAAUCAUUUUUUUGCUCUUUUCUUUUCUUAAAAGUGAAUGCUGAGGUGGGUGCAACUUUUAGUAAUAGCUAUUAGUAGCAUAAAACAAAGAUUGCACGCUGUAAAACAACUGUAAUAGGGAAACUGGUAUAGGCAUCUAAUCCAACAGAUUAAAACAAAAUAGAGAAACAAUAGUACCUUGAGACUAUCAGAGAACAGCAAGCUCCGCUGCCCUUUUCUUAAAAGUGAUUGAUUAUGAUGAAACAUUCAGCCUUGUAAUUAAGCCUGCUUCUGUUUGCUUUGUGUUUGGCAUUAUUACAAGAUGGUAUUUGCGACAACUUGAUGUGAGCAAUGCCUUCUCACAUGGGCACCUAUCAAAGGAGGUAUUUAUGUCUCAGCUACUUGGUUUUAUUGAUCCCACGUAUCCUAAUUAUGUUUGCAAACUUAAAAAGGCACUCUCCGGCCUUAAGCAAGCCCACGUUCUUGGAACAACACUGAGCUUCGUAACUUUUUUCUAUCGACGGGGAUUUUUCACUUCAUUAUCAGAUUCUUCUUUAUGUAUCUAAUCUCAUGCUGGCGUGCAUGAGAUUAUCUUUGUGGGUAAACUUUCAUCUGUCGCCACAAUGUAGCUAGGCACCAAUUAUCCUGUAUAUCAUUGUCGCAUGAAACACAUAGCCAUUGACUUUCACUUUGUUCAUCACAAAAUUCAAAAUGGUGAUCUCCGGGUGUCUCAUGUAUCAUCUUAAGACCAAUUAGCCGAUGCUGUCACCAAACCUCCAUCUCAUCAACAAAUAAGUCUUCUUUGUUCUACGAUCGGUGUCGCCAAUGGUAGCACCAUCUUACAGGGGCAUAUUAGAGAUACUCUCAAAGUCACGGUGUAAUUGUAUAACCUUUUUAUCAUUUGUAUAUUCGACUUUCAUAACUUUAGACUACAAUUGUGCACUUAUAAUUAACUACCUUUAGGAAAAUUUAUAAAAUUAACCAAAAAAAUUUGUCAUUUUUCACAUUUAACCUUUGAAACUUUUUUCUAUCAUAACUAGCCAAACACAAGUUUUUUACUCCAAAAUAUCCUUGUUAGUUCAAUCCCAACUUCUCUCCCAUUUAUCAAACCGAACACAACUUUUCCUUCUUGAAUCAUCACCGGCAGCGGCAAACGGCAAUGAAGACCGGCGGCGGCAAUGGUAAAAGUGAAGUUUGAUCAAAUACAACCGAAUCCAACACCAAUCCAACACGAUUCUAACAAAGUGAAUUAGAGUCCAAAACCUAGGUAAGCUAGUUGAAAAGAAAUUAGUUUUGUAGAAAUAUUGCACAUUAGGUGUUUGAUAAAACGUUACUUAGAUUAUUUAUGCUUUGUUUUUGCAUCAUCAAAGUGUUAAGAGGCGUUUGUUGAGUUGAUAUGGUGCGACAAGAGUUUCGGUGACAUUAUAUGUUGGUGUGACAGGUGCCUGUCGCACCAAGAGAUGGUUGCACCAACACUGUCUCUUGGUGCGACAGGGUGCAACAUGCUGUCUGUCGCACCUGAUCAGGUGUUAUACCUAGCCAUGGCCGGCACCCCACACCCCCACGAAUUUGCUCAUCACCCACACCAACUUCACCCAAGCCACCAACAUCACAAACUAUUCAAUCUUUCCUUACCAUCACCAACAAAACAAAAAAAAUAACAACAUAAAAGAAGAAAAGACAAUAGAACAUGCAAUAAAAUUUAGGAUUUUUGAACUAACCGUUGAUUUCAGAUCUUAGCUAAAAUUUUGGUGACGUUGGUUGCUGAGAAUUGACUCCAGAAAGUCGCCGGUGAUGAGUGAACUUGGGAGAGAAUCAUUCGUUAGAGAGAGAGGAAGCUUGGUGAAUGAGAGGGGUAUUUUCGCCACUUUGCAUGUUGUUUGGGUAAUAUUGAUAGAAAUAAAUUUGGAGGGUUAAUUCUGAAAAUUGACAAAAAUUUUAGGUUAAUUUUGUAAAUUUCCCUUCUUAUUUCCUUUCUCUAUAUUAUUUAUUGUAUAAACCUAACAAAUUGCAGCCCUUUUUUCCCCAAAUCUGACACUUUUUUUUAUAAAUUUAUUUACCCUAUCGUUUGUCUCACUUUUUUCUUUUUAUUUUCACUUAUUUCGUUACCCAGCCCACAGUUUCAUAGACUUUGUCCCGGCCCCGCACUCUACUUUUGUUAUUUUUAUCAAAUCAGCAGCACUAGCAGCACCAUGUAAUUAUCUUUUCAGACCCCCUUCUGGUGUAUCAGAGAAGCCCAAUAACAAAUACAUCCGCAAAAUAUCUACCAAAGAUAUCUCAACAAGCUAGUCAAGCAGUGAAUGGCUCCAUUCCUUAAGCACAUGUUUGGUUGGAAAAAAAUUGGUAUAAGCCCUUGUUUGGUUGGAAGAAAUGAUAGGAGAGGAGAGGAAUAAAAAGAAAAGAAUGAGAGAGAAAAUGAGUGUAAAUGAGGGUCAAUUUCAUUUACAUUGCUUUAUUGGAUAUGGAAUUCUAUCUUUUUCCCCUUAUUUCUUUCCCCUCUCCUCAUCUCUUCUUAUAUUUCUUCAAACCAAACAUGUCAAUUGACGACCUGUCUGGUGUCCCCUUGCCUACUCAUCAUGCCAAUAAAGAUUGAAAUUAGGCCAUUUAGAUUAAAGAUAAGACGGAAUGGAAAUAUGGAAUCGUUAAUUAUUAUAGCUAUGACCCAUCUAAUUUGCAAAUGGUUCUUUCCCUUUCAAUAUUAUUGGACGUGUUUGCAAGGAAACCUCUUCUAUCUUUCUUGCAAUUAAGACUUUUUGAACGUGUAGAAGAUAACAACUUGAAGACUUGAGAGAGAGCCAGCGUUAAUUCAACGUCAAGAGUAGCUUAUUAGCUUGCAGGAUUCUUGAUGUUGAGGGGAAAAAAAGGGUUCGCAUAUGCUGGGUAUAAGGUCUAUAAAACUUUAAUUAUUUCAUAAAAUUGUUCUAUUUUUUAUUCCUCAUCACAUUGGGGAUUACUCCCCCAGUGGCCCAUUUUAUUUUCAUUUUUAUGUAGGUCAGUAGUGUUACUGGAAAUCAAAUAUUGUCUCUUUUUUCUCCACUUAUUGAGGAAUAUGGAGAAUUAAACAAAAAUCACCAAUGGCCUAAAAUAUACAAUGAAUAUUUAUUAACAGAUUUUAGAUAAAAUUAAUUUUUGAACCGAUUGAAACUUCCAAAAACUCAAAUUUCGAAUUUGUUAUAAAAAUAGAAUCUAUUUUAUUUAUCAUUGUCAAAUCCUCCUCUAUAGCACAUUAGCAAAUUUGCAACCUUUCUAGCUUAAAUUCUAGGUUCAAAUCCUUGCCGCGGAGUUAAAUUUUGUUACAUUAAAAUUUUUGCACAGAAGUUUGAGCUAAAUCUUAAAGAUGAAUUAUUUUCUAAUUACUUUUUUUGUGGUUCUUUUAUAAAGAAGACAAAAUUCUCCACAAGUUUCGGACCCCACCCCAAAUGGCGUGAAUUUUAAAUAUUUUUUAGAAAUGGGUUGAGAAAUGGAUAAAAAAUAAUCCCUAAGUUUUUAUGGGGUGAACUUUUAAUUAGAUAGAAACCUAUCCGUUCAAUUGAUGCUGAAAAAAUAAAAGUUUUGCAGGAUCUUUUCUCCUAGCAAUGAAAGAGAACCGCUUGUUUGAUGUACUUGAUGCUCGAGUUCUUAAGGAAGCCAAGGAAGAACAGAAAUACAGAAUAUUACGGUUGCUAUGCUUGCAAAAAGAUGCUUGAACUUCAGUGGAAAGAAGAAACCUACAAUGAAAGAACCUUAGAAGAGAAUGAAAUGACAACAGCAUCCGAGAAUCAAGGCAGAGAACAACCUAUAUAUUCAAUAUAAUUUAAAAAUUAUAUUGACUAAUUGUGUUAUUCAAUCAAACCUUAUUGACCAAAGGAACAUUUACCAAAGAUAAAAAAAAAAUUGUUUUGACAAAUUUUGGGGUUGGAAAAAACAAAUCUAUCUAGAACAAUGAAUUUGUAUUUUUUAGGGAAACGGGAUACCUCACUGGUUUGUUGUGUGUGGUGCUUUUGAAUUUGGAGGAGGUGAAAAUGGAAGAGGGAAGUGGUAACAAUGGUGAAAGGUCAGAACCAAGAGAGAUGUCCUUCAAAACGAGCUUCACGCCUGCAAAACAAUGAAAUAGAGGUUAGAGGUAAAGCCGAGGUAUCCCGGCGUUCACACUCCAAUGCCCAAGUUAGCAAACUCAAGCUUUUUAUGGCCAAGAGAGCUGGCCAGCUCUCUGUAAAUCAAGGUUUAAGGUUGAAGAAAACUUAUUUUGUGGAGUGUGAGUGUUCAUGGGUGAAUCAGAACAUGAUGGAGAAUAAAACCAGACACCUUUAUAUAUGGAGUACCUCAGCUGCCACGUGGCGUAUCCUUUUUGACUAACAUCUUUUUACCUUUAUAGGAUUUUUGGGCCGUUAUGUACAUGUUCGCGGCGUAUCUCAUCCUUUGGAAACGUGGAGCGCAUUGGAGAGUGGUCCAGGGUACCUCUGCAGUGAUUGUCAGGUAGGCGGCUGAGGACCACUGUCCUCGGGACAAUGUCCUUCACUUUUGGCAGAGGUAGCAGCCGGCUGUCCCCCUCUUUUAGUACGACGUUUUUGAUUCCUAAUUCUAACAAAAUCAAAUAUUAUCUUUCAAGAUAUGAAGAUAUUUCCUAUGACGGAUUUUUUCAGAGGAUUCUCUUGAGUCGGACCUGUCAGGUAUCCCGAUCUAUGUGGGGUACCUCAAGUUACUCUGGAGUUAAAUGUGGUACCUCUAAUUAUGCAGGGUACCUCAAAGCAUGUCGGAUACCUCGAAUCAUGCCAGGUACCUCAAAUUAUUGCGGGUAUCUUGAAUUGUGCUGGAGUUAUUUCGGGUACCUUGAAUUAUACGGGGUACUCCAAUCUAUGCGGGGUACCUCGAGUUACUCUGUAGUUAUGCGGGGUAUCUCUGAUCGUGCCGGGUACCUCUAAUCGUGCCGGGUACCUCUAAUCACGCCGGGUAUCUCUAAUCGUGCGGGGUACCUUGGAUUACACUGAAAUUAUUCCAUUCGUCGACAAGUGGCGUUUUACUAUCUUUCCUAUUUUUCCCCCAAACAAUAUUUUAAAGCUACAUUUUGUUUCAACAAAAUGAAGCCACUCAAUCUAUAUUUUAUUCCAAUAAAACUAUGGCUUCGUUUCAUAUCUUAAUUAAAUUAUAUAAUGAUGAAAUAUUAUAUUCUGAACUUAACUGAAUCCAAUAUCAUUUCACCAAUCGGUCAUAUGAGAUGAAAGAAAAAAAUCUGUUGAAAUUAAUUUUAAAUUAAAGUUGACGAAUGGUGAUAUGAUACAUACACAUACAUGACUCAGAAUUUAUUAAAUUGAAGAUGUACUCAUCGUCUUGACGAUGUGCCCAAAUACUAGAAUGUGAGAAUGGUCUUCGGACUUUGGAGAAGACUUGAGAGGGCCCAAAGUAAUUAAAAGUCAAGAUUGGCAAUCUGAAAUUAAUCUCUGGCUUUAACAUGCAGGACUUUCUAGUCGGUGAGAAAAGUUUCUGAAUUAAUAUAGGAGCUUAUACAUGCACUUUCUGAACUAAAGAAAACUGAGUUUAAGCGGCGAAUGGCUGUGCAUCUUUGUCUGGUGUUGUUGCAGAUUAUUGUUUUGCACCUCAGGCCGAUCAAAGCAUCAGAAAGAUUUCCCUGUCCAACUGAAUGUGGAAAUGUCAGCAUCAGCUACCCCUUCGGAAUCGGAGAAGGGUGCUACUUUGACAAGGGUUACGAAGUAAUCUGCGAUCACUCUUCUGGCACUCCCAAAGCUUUUCUUCCUGGCGUCAACAGGCUAGAAUUAGUGGAUAUUCUCUCUAAUGAUUCAAGAGCCGCGGUUAGUAGUAAGCGAACAAGCAAUAUUGCUAAAAGCGUCAACUUAUCAGGUACCCCUUUCUCCUUUUCGACUGACAAUAAAUUCGCUGCCAUAGGCUGCAAAAUGAGAUAUCACCAAGGGAACGGUUCAUCUCUGUUUGAUGGGUGUCUGUCGAUUUGUACUUGUGAUCCUACUCUCUACCCUGCUUGCUAUGAUUUCCUAUGCGCCCUUCCUCGAAAUAUUACUCAUCUGUUCAAUGUAAAUACAUCAUACUUGUUUUCUCAAAGUAUUCCUCAGAAAUGUCAGUCUGUUUUCCUGGUUGAUGAACAUUGGGUCAACAGCAAGUACCCUGAAGAUCCUCAUGAUUUGAAAGAUCAACAAGAAGGUUGUUUUGAAGAAUAUAACUCAUAUUCUAUUUUUUGUAAUUCGGAUAAAACAGGUUGUUUAACACAAUUAAGCUCAGGCCAUUUAUGUCUUUGCUCUGCUGGCUACAACCUAGAGAAAGCAUAUUGCUCAGGUACAUAUUGGAUUAUGUGUUAAAGAGAAAUUUUUUUUUUUCCCAAAGAGAAUAUCCGAACGACAAGAAGAAAAGGGAAAAUCCUUGGUGCUCCAGGAGCAUUUAGAUGCUAUUUCCAUAAGAACAUUAGCAAUAAGUGUGAUGAGAAACGGAAAAUGCUAUUGGAGCACCCUAGAGUUUACUAGAGUUAAAUGUCAAAUGAUGUAACAGUCCUCCGUUGGAUGGUAAGAUGAUCAGAAAAGAGUUGUAAAAUUUAUCAUCCAAUAGAUGAUUGAAAUUAUUGAUUUUUAAAAUAUCCAUCAAAUUACUUGUAAAUGAGUAAAGUUUUCCCAUUACUGUAACUAUCUUUGUAAACAAAGAAUUAGAGACUAAAAAUGGUGGAGUUUUAUUUAGUUGUAGCCAUGAUUUAGUUUGAUCUUCCCUUUGAUUUAUUUUUAUUUGUUAUUUUCCGGGCAGGUGACUUGAUCUGUAAUAUCUCAAGCGGCUACAAUUGCUCCAAUUGUCCCGACGGUUAUAAUCGUCUCUCGUACCGUUGCAUUAAAAUUUUCAACAAAUCUAACAGAUCUAACAAAUCUCGGGUUAAAUUCAUUAUUAUAGGUAUGCAUGUCGAUCGUUUAUUUUACAUCAUAAUAAAUUAAUAAUAUUUUUCAACAUAUAUUUCAAAUGAAAAUACUAAGUGUUUAUACGUUCAUUUAGUUUGAUGAUAUCUUUCCUAUUAUGAUAUGUUUCAUUAUUGUCCUCGAGAGCCGCAGGUUGCGGUGGUGGGCUUGCGUUAUUCUUUCUACUCAUUGGAAUAUGGUGGUUGUACAAGUUUACAAAAAGAAGGGAAAUCAGGCUCAAGCAUAAAUUCUUUAAAAAAAAUGGUGGUUUAUUAUAUUACAACAAGAAUUGUCUUCCAAUGAAGGUAAUAUUGAGAAAAUGAAGUGGUUUAUUAUUACAACAAGAAUUGUCUUGCAAUGAAGGUAAUAUUGAGAAAAUGAAGUUAUUUACUUCAAAAGACUUGGAGAAAGCCACCGACAACUACAAUGCCAAUUGAAUGCUUGGUCAAGGAGGCCAAGGUAUUGUAUACAAAGGAAUGCUAGUAGAUGGACGAAUUGUGGCUGUUAAAAAAGCUAAAAUAUUGGAUGAGAGUAAUCUCGAGCAAUUCAUCAAUGAGGUAGUAAUUGUUAGGAAAUUGGUGGGUGUAGCAGGACCGCAGCUAAAAUAAAAUUGGAAAUAAAAUAAAGAACAAGCACACUAGAGGACACCAGAAAUUACGUGGUUCGGCUUUUAGCCUACGUCCACGGGCGAAAACAGAAGGAAAUAUUUUACUAGUGAAAAGGAGUUACAAGUAUUGUAGUAUUUUAGCUCACUACCCAAAACCCCAAUACACCCAAACUCUUAAAUCACUAAAAUAAGAGCUUAUAAAUUCAAGCUCUUAAACUCUCUCUCAACUCCCUUAAUUGCUCUCUAAAAUGGAAUGAAUGAAGCUCUUCAUUUGCACUUGUAUUUAUAGCAAAAUGAAGGCCAAGGAAGUCAAGCCGUGGGUAUCAAAAAACUUCUUCAAAACCAUGUUCAUCAAAGCUUGGUGGGUAAAAACCAUGUUCAAUUUUCAAAGCCAAGUGCCAACCUUUCUUGUCUUCUAGAUGCAGCCAUGCCAAACACUUCUAGAUGCAGCCAACUUUGACAGUAAUUUUAUCUCAAAUUAACCACAGAAAUGUUAAGUUGUUGGGAUGUUGCUUGGAGACAAAAGUUCCUCUUUUGGUGUAUGAAUUUAUUCCAAAUGGAAGUCUCAAUCAAUACAUACACUAUUGAUUCGAGGAGUUUCCAAUCACAUGGGAAAUGUGUUUAUCCAUUGCUGUUGAAGUUUCAGGUGCUCUAUCUUAUCUGCAUUCAACUGCAUCUAUUCCUAUUUAUUAUCGAGACAUCAAGUCCGCAAACGUACUUUUGGAUGAUAAAUAUCGAGCCAAAGUUUCAGAUUUUGGGGCUUCUAGAUCUAUAACAAUUGAUCAAACUCACUUGACCACUCAAGUACAAGGAACUUUUGGAUAUCUAGAUCCAGAAUACUUUCGGUCAAGUCAUUUUACAGAAAAAAGUGAUGUUUAUAGUUUUGGUGUAGUUCUUGUUGAGCUUUUAACUGGACAGAAACCUAUCCGUUCAACUGACGCUGAAGAGGAUAGGAGUUUAGCAAGAUAUUUUAUCCAAGCAAUGAAAGAGAACCGUCUGUUUGAAGUCCUUGAUGAUCGAGUUCUUAAGGAAGCUGAAAAAAAAGAGAUUAUUACCGUUGCUAUGCUUGCAAAAAGGUGCUUGAACUUGAAUGGGAGGAAGAGACCUACGAUGAAAGAAGUGGCAUUUGAAUUACGGGGUAUAAGAGAAUCAAUUGGACCUUCCAUUUUGCAGCAAAAUUGUGAAGAGACUGAUUUUGUGGAUGGUGACAUUACUGGACAUGAUUUCGGAAGAAAUUCAUCUUCUAGUGGGUCAAGUUUAAAUAGUGUCUCAGUUUCUGUAGAUGCCGACCCUUUAAUUUCAAACAAAUGGUGAUAAAGAGAAGAAUUGCCUUGAAACUGUUUGCCUUUCAUAAAUAAGAUUGUGAGACUUUUCCAAUAUUAUCAUUCUUGUAUCGCUAGAGUUUCUUUGGGUACCAUCAUUUGUAAUUAAAAACUUCCAAGUCAUUUCAAUCAAAAUUUCCACUAUUUCAUUGCAUGCGCUGCGUUUUCCUUUUUUUUUUUUAGGCAACUAGAGGAGAUCAAGGAAAAAUCUUUUGAAAUUAAUUUCUUAGUUGAAGUUUACAAAUGCAAGAUGAUAUGAUCUCUCGGUCUAAAGUGCAAGAACUUUAGAGCUAUGCCACCUAAUAUCUCUGAGUAAAUAGGAGAGAACAACUUGAGUACUUAAGAGGGCGAACGUUAAAUAAACUCCAGAGUGGCAUGUUGGAAUUUUAGCUUAUUGUUAUGCAGGACUUUCUUGGUAGUGAAAUAAAGUCAAAAGGAAGAUGGGAGGAAAUAAAGAUCAAUGCGCUUUCUUGUAUUUUAUGGGUUAAAUAUCCUUUUAUCCGAAUACAAAUUGAUAGAAAAAAAUACCCUACAUCAUUUGUGAGUGAAUCUUAGGUCAAAUAUAUUAAGUUUGAACGAUCCUCAAUUUUUUAGUUAGAUUUUGAGUAUGGCUUAGACCCAUGAAAUCUCUAAUAUUUUAUUAGAGCCAAAUUUAUUUAGAUUAGUGGUAAAAGAAUAAUGCUAAGGGAAUCUCAACUUGAGUACUAAUGGAUGUGGUAUUUAUUUAGUGGAUAGUAAAAUAUUUAUUUUAUCAGUUAUAAAAUUUAUUAUCCAAUACAUGAACUACGUAUAAAAUUUGAGACUCAAAUUAGGACUUAAUUGGUGGGGUCACAAUCGUUAUUGGUUAAAAAUGAUAUCCAGAGAUAACUAAUGGUAAAUCGAAAACUCUCUCUCUCUCUCUGCUAAGACCCUUUCUGCCACAGGCUAAAAUUCGCCAGCUUUGAUCAAUCAACCAGCUUGAAUUACACAGCCAUCACAUUUUCAAACCUCCAAACUUUCAAAUCUAUUUUUCAACUCUUUGUUUCCAGCCACCGUAGCCGCGAACCAGCCACACCUCUCCACUGCUACCUCCCGCCACCAUGUCGCCAAUUGCCCAUCACUAUAGCAAAAAAUUAUGCUAAAGUAGUUUAGGCCGGGGAGGGAACCAGUAGGUCUUUUCUUUUUUCCUAUUUUCUAUUUCUCUUCUAUAUUUCUUUUGUUUUAUUUUUGUAUUUGCUUCUGUUAUUGUACGUUUUUAUGUUUUGUUGUUUUGUAAGAUUUUAUACUGCUCGUGCGGUGGUCUACAUAGACGGUGUUGUUUCAAUGUCCAGAUCGGGAUUGUGUCAGUAUUUGGAUUGGAAUAGUAUGACUACAUUGAAGCUGUUGAUGGCUUUAAUAGUGGUACAUUGAGGUUCCGAUGACCUCAGGCGAAGUUCUGAUGGCCUAGGUCAAGGGCUUAUUGAGAGAUUUUCUAGUGAAUCCUAAGGUUGGUUUUUUUGUUGCAUUUUGUGGAUUUUGUUUUUUGUUUUUGGUUGUUUGUUUGCAUUUUAUUGUUAGAAUUGUGUUUUCUAGUGUUUUCUAGUAGCUAAGAUUGGUUCCUCUGGUGUUUCUUUAGAUUUUAAUUUGAGAAAAAGGACACCUACACCCUAAAGUUUGAGGAAAUGAUCGCAAAACUCCUAAGUUUUUAAAAAGGGACACUAAAAUUCUUUUUUUACCAUAAUAUCCUUUGAACUUAGUAAUUAGAAAAUUGACUUUAAAGUUUUUAUAAUUAAUACAAAUUUAAUAUAAAUAAUAUAAUCUAUCUAGUAGACUAAUAAUAUUAAAUUAUUUUUAAAAUUUAAAAUAAUAUUAAAAUUUUAAAUUAUUAUAUUUAUUUUAAUAAUAUAUUUGUAUUUACUAUAAAGAUUUUAAAUAAAUCUUUGGGUUAAAUAAAAUUUUCAAUUAACAAAUAAUAUCCCUAUUAAUAAGAUCAAAAUUAUUUUUUACAUAAUAUUCAAAAUAAUUUUAAUUUUUAAUUUUUUUUAUUUUAAUAUUAUGUUUCUAUUUAUUAUUAAAAAUUACUUUAAUAUAAUAAAAUAGGUCUAAUAGAUUGUAAAAUAUUAAAAUAUUAAAAUAAAUUUAAAAUGCAUAUAUUAUUACAUUUAUUUUGAUGCCAUAUUUCUAUUUAUUAUAAAAUUUUGGGGUCAAUUUUUUUGGAUUUAUAAAGUCAAAGGAUAUCACCGUCAAAAAGAAAUCUUGGCGUCGAUUAUUGAAAAUUUGGGAGUUUUUGUGACUAUUUCCUCAAACUUUGAGGAUGUAGGUGUUCUUUUUCCCUUAAUUUGAGAAACAAAUUAGUCUCCUUUGAUUUUAAAAUUUGCUUUAUGUACUGUACUUAAACUUGAUAUAACUCUUAUUUAUAUUAUUAUUAUUAUUGGUCCUUAACGAAAGUCACAUUUUCUUAAAAAAAAAGAAAAGAAAAGAAAAGAAAAGAUGGAAGAUAUACGGUGGAGAAUUUGUAGACUUGAGAGGGCCAGGGUUAAUUAAAAGUCAAGUUGACUUGCACGACUUUCAUGGUAUUGGGAUAAAAGCUAAAGGGGAGCUAGAAGGGAUUUAAUUACAGAUCAACGCAUGCAAUUGCUCUGUUAAAUCUUCAUUUUUUCGAGUAAAAAUAUUGAGAAUGGUUGUUCAUCAUUAUCUGGUGUUGUUGCGAUCGAUGUUUUUGCUAUUAUGGCCAAUCAAAGCAUCAAAAGAUUUAUGCCAAUAUGAUUGUGGGAAUGUCACUAUCAGGUACCCCUUCGGAAUCGGAAAGGGUUGCUAUUUUGAUAAGCGUUUUGAAGUAAUCUGCGAUUACUCUUCUGGCUCCCCAAAAGCUUUUCUUGCGAGCAUCAACAACCUGCAAGUAUUGGACAAUCAUGUUUAUGGUGUAUCCAACAUUAGGGCAAACAUUCCUGUAAUUUCUUUGAAGAGCAGCAACCUGACGAGCAAUGCUGAAGGGGUCAGUCUUUCAGCUAGCCCUUUUACAUUUUCUCCGUGGGACAAUAGAUUCACAGCCAUAGGUUGCAACAACUAUACUACGAUUAUUAAGCGACAGAAUGAUUCAUCCGUUUUUGGUGGGUGCCUUUCGAUUAGCAAUUGUGAUCCUGCUCUCAACCCUGGUUGCUACGAUUUCCUGUGCGCCCUUCCUAAAAAUAUUACUCAGGUUUCCAAUGCAGAAAUAUCUAGUUUUUAUCCUAAAAGUAUUCCUCAGGAAUGUCACUCUGUUUCCAUUGUUGAAGAAGAUUGGAUCAACUCAAAGUACAUGAAGAAUCCUCACGUUUUGAAAGAUCACGGACAAGUUCCUGCACUGUUGAAGUGGGCUGAGUCUAGAGGAUAUUGUUAUGAAGAAUAUAAUUCGAAAACUACUUGUAACAAGGACAAUAUAUGUUUAAUACAAUUAAGCUCAGACCACUUUUGCCUUCGCAAUAGGGAAACAAGCGUUGGCCCACACCGCCAUGGAUAUUGCUUAGGUACAGUUUCGACUACUAAUUAAAUUAAUUUCAUAUAUGAAGUGUAAUUACUUUAUUUCCUCGAACCAACUACGUAUCUAACACAAAAUUAGGGACGGUAAUUGCAGAAUUCGCAUAUGUAAAGAAGGCAAGAUUUAUGUAUAGCCGUGAUUUAAUUUGAUAUUCUAUUUCAUUUUUUGGGUUUGUUUAGGAGACUUGCUCUGUAAUACCACAAGCCGCGACAAUUGCUCAUCGGAAUGUCCCAAAGGUUACUUUUCAAAUCCGAGCGUUGGAUACUGCGACCAAAAUCUUAGUAUGCACAAAAAUUCUCUCAAAUUCAUUAUUAUAGGUAAGUAUUGGAAUUUGCAGAUUUUAUCGACAGAAUAACUUACCCCAUAUAUAGAGGCUCACAAACUUAACAGACUAAACAGUUCCUUGGCAUAAAUCACCUCGAACGUGCAUUAAAUAUUCUUGGCCUGGAGUGUUGCAGGUUGCAGUAGUGGGCUUGGAAUGUUGUUCUUACUAAUUGGAACAUGGUGGUUAUACAAGUUCGUUAAAAGAAGAGAAACCAAGCUCAAGCAGAAUUUCUUUAAAAGAAAUGGUAGUUUAUUAUUGCAGCAACAGUCCUCAUCAAAUGAAGGUAAUAUUGAGAAAACAAAAUUGUUUACUUCAAUGGAAUUAGAAAUGGCUACUGACAACUUCAAUACCAAUCGAAUCCUUGGUCAAGGAGUCCAGGGCACAGUGUACAAAGGAAUGUUGGCAGAUGGAAGAAUUGCGGCUGUGAAAAAAUCCAAAUUAGUGGAUGAGGGUAAUGUUGAGCAAUUCAUCAAUGAGGUGGUAAUUUUAACUCAAAUUAACCACAUAAAUAUUGUUAAAUUGUUCGGAUGCUACUUGGAGACAGAGGUUCCUCUUUUGGUGUAUGAAUUUAUUCCAAAUAGAACUCUCUAUCGAUAUAUACACGACCAAACUGAGGAGUUCACAAUCACAUGGGAAAUGCGUUUACGCAUUGCUGUAGAAGUUUCAGGUGCUUUGUCCUAUUUGCAUUCAACAACUUCUAUUCCUAUUUAUCAUCGAGACAUCGAGUCUGCAAAUAUACUUUUGGAUGAUAAAUUUCGAGCAAAAAUUUCAGAUUUUGGGGCUUCUAGAUAUAUAACGAUUGAUCAAACUCAUUUGACCACACAAGUACAAGGAACUUUUGGAUAUCUAGAUCUAGAGUACUUUCGGUCAAGUCAAUUUACAAAGAAGGGUGAUGUUUAUAGUUUUGGAGUUGUUUUUGUUGAGCUUUUAACUGGACAAAAACCUAUCCGUUCAACUGACACCGAAGAAGAUAAAAGUUUAGCAGGGUAUUUUCUCUGAGCAAUGAAAGAGAACUGUUUGUUUGACAUGCUUGAUGCUCAAGUUCUUAAGGAAGCCAAGGAAGAAGAGAUUAUUACCGUUGUUAUGCUUGCAGAAAGAUGCUUGAACUUAAAUGGGAGGAUGAGACCUACAAUGAAAGAAGUAGUAUUUGAAUUAGGGGGCAUUAGAGUUUCAAUCGGACCUCAAAAUUGUGAAGGCAUUGAUUUUGUGGGUGGCAAUUUUGAAAUGGUUCAUCUUCCACGGGCAAUUUUAAAUGCUGUUGCUUUUUCUGUAGAUGCUGACCCUUUGCUUUCAAACAAGUGGUGAUUAAAGGGAAAUUCUUCCCUUUGAAAUGUAAUUAUUUCAUUUCAAAAUAAAUUUAGUUGUGGACUUUUGCAUUAUGCUUCUCUUGUGGUUAAAAUUUCACUCUAGAUCAAAAUAUACUGAGUUUGAUGUUCACUUUGUAAGUAGUGAGUGGAGAAAUAAAUUUACAAGGUCGACUCCAACAAAGCAUCUGGUGGCAAACAUAUUUAAAGAUCUAAGAAGUAAGCCUCUAAUGCUACCAUUAUUUAGGGGCCCUGUGCUUCAAGAAACAGAGGACCCUGCACUCGAACUUUGAAGCUGAAGGAGUUGGACAUCUCAGCAUCUGAGUCUGCAUACAAGUGGAACAGGAGAUGCUGACAUGACAUCCUACGUGGAACUUAUGCGACACAUAUAAUGAGUCCAGUUCGUUCCUAGUUCAUACGCUUACAUUGUAACCCGGUUCUGUGUUUCCAGUACCAUAAGUGAAUCAUCACUUCGUGCCAUUGUAUUGCUAAUAGCAACUUUGCCUUGAUUGAUUUUGCUGACAAUAUGUACUCUACGUUUGGAACUGAGGUGCUAUAACUUUUAAUCUGCAGUUAUUGUGAAGUAAAAGUCAGAGUUGUGGUGUACAAGCUGGUGGUGUUUGGUAAAUUUUAAUAGUUGUGGAGUGGAAGCUAUGGUGUUUGGUAAAUUUAAUACCUGUAGAGUGGAAAUUGAUGAAUAUUUGUAAUAAUUAAUUUUAAAUAAUAUUAAUUUUAAUUAUUAAUUAAUCAAAUUAGUUUUCAUAUUUUGAAUUAUUAUAUUAACAUAUGAUUGUGUUUAUUACUUUGACAAAUUAGAUUAAUAUUUAAUUAAUCAAAUUUAUUUUUCUAUACAAGUUGUAAUAAAUAUUUUUUAAAACAAAAUAAUUUAAAAUUGAAAAUAAAUAAAUUCUAAUUUUACACAUUGAUUGAAGAAAUAAAUUAUACUAAAUAUGUCUAAUAAAGAUCAUACAACAUAACAUUAUAAAAUUAAAAUGUAAUUAAUUACAAAAUUCUUAUAAACAUUUCUAUUGUCAUGCCUCCAUUAAACUUGCGGCAACGCCAUCUCUGAAGAUUAUUUUAUCUUGAGCUCUGUUAUCAACUGUAUCAUAACUUUUUUUAGGAGAUGCAAUAUAGCUUAUAUGUUCACUAUUAUUAUGAUUUAGCUUAUCCAUUAUUUCAUCAAAAUGAUCAUGAUUUUGUGAAUAUCCUCUGAUGUAAUUAUGUAAGGCCAUGGUAGUAAUAACUAUCUUCACCUGCUUCUUUAAUGUAUGGCUUGACAUAUUUUGUAAAAUCUUCCUUAUUUGUUUUAAACCCCAAAAGCACUCGUUAGAGUGAACAAUACUCUCAACAUUAAGAGAUUCAGAUGCCUCAUUACCCUCUAAAGGAAACUAGAUGAGGGAAACCAAACAAGGUCACUUGUAGCCACUGCAUUUGAAUAGUUAAUUUAGUUUUUUCUCCAAUUCUGAAUCAAUACCAUUUUUUUGAAUUCUAUUGAAUUGCAAAUUUUCCUUUAUUUUCAUUUCCUACCGGUCCUCACUUGCAUCAACUGUCCUUAACCGAUGAUUCCACCCUAAAUCUGUUUCCUAGUCAAUCUGUUUCUUCCACAAUUUCCAAUUAGUUCUAAGAGAAUCCUAUUUGUUUUUCAUUUGAGUUCUAUUAUAAUCCAAUCCAAUUUCUUUAGUGAAUUCCUUGAUGAAAUAUUUAUAUGCUUGGGAAGUAGCCCUACUAGCUGAGCUACUAGACCUAAUUUCGAAACCUAAUUUCGUACACUUACACCUAGAAUAAAGAAUAAUAUUUCUUUGUCAAACAACAAUACAUGAAAGAGAUUAAUGAAGAGCGAUACCCAAUUUUUUUUAAAAGCAAAUAACACUAAUUAAGGAUGAAUUAUGUGCAGCAAUAAUGAACUAUGCCUAACAUUACACACUUGUAACACCCAAGCCCAACUUUGAGAACAAAUCUAACCACAACUCUCCUAUGUACUUAAAUAUCUCUUUACAAUUAACAACAAUUCAAGUCUUAAAUACAAUAUUUAAAUAGCGGGAGACUUUAAAGAUUUUGCACAGUCAUCUACCAUCCUCAAUUUAAGUCUUCUCCUCACUCAUCACGAAUAAAUCUUGACUUUUGAAAACUGAAUCACAAUAAACUAUAGUGAGUACAAAACUCAAUAAGCAAACUGGUUUUUCAUAUCCCAAAAUACAUACAUACUUAUAUACUAUGUAAAUAGAUAAUAUGCCAUGAUAUUUUUAAAAAACUAUAAAAUGAAUUCAUCAAAAUCUCUUUAUGUUGCUUUCAAACUUUCACAUUUUCUUUCAAUAAAAUACAUAUCAUGCAUAAGGCAUUUUGCACAAUACUUGGCACUUUGCACUAUGCGUUGCACUUCGCGGCACUCUGACCCUCGAGAGGUGGCCCCUACACGGCUUCAAGUGGUGGCCCCCAACGGAAACUCUCAUAAAACUAAGUAUAAUAGCAAAAUUCAUGUACAAAUCAUAAAAUUACAAAAUGCAAUAUUAUUAAACAUACUUUUUAUAAAAGCUUUGCAUGUUCAUGCUUAUGCCAAUGAACUUUCACACACACAUAUGCCCAUGCAUAUAAUCAUGCUCAACACAUAACAACACAUCACAUAAACACAUGGGUAGAAACAUAUAAAUCAUAUCUAUACAUAUAAAAAGUAGGUUUUUCAAACAUGGAAAACAUAUACAUAUUAAUUUAUUGUGAUCCAUUUAGAAGUCUAGUUUACUUACCUCUUGGCAUCCACAUGUAACAAAUGCGUAUUCAUAUCAUCAACCUAAAAAUCCUUUAUAAAACUCUCAUUAGAUAUAAUCAAGUCCUAAUCAUAAUUCUAAUGUCCUCAAAUUUCUCAUUUUAAACAUAUCCUAAACUCAACCUCAAAUACUCUCAAUAUUCGAUCCCAAAACAGAACAACCCAUGUUCUCCGAUUUUUGAUAAUUUAUUAUCUUAUUGGAAAAGUCCCAAAUUUUCAAGAGCAUAUGAUAACAUACUAGAAAUUCAUUGAUUAAAAUUUCAUAACUUAAUUCUUUCAAAAUCUAUUAAAAAUAAUUUACGUUUCAGACAUCAUCAAUUCUGUCAAACAACUUUCUAUUUUAAACAUACUUGUUUUAAAAAUACAAAACAAUUUAUUGUUUUAUCAUAAAAUCAUGAAAAUUUCCAAAAUCACUCUAGACAUAUAUAAAAGUUGCUAAUCCAAGUUUCAUAAUUUUGGAAGAAAUCUAGCUAUGGUAAGAUAAAUUUGUAAUUCAUGUUCUUCAUUAAAAUUAGAAAUUUUCAGGUUUUCAAAUUUGAGUUUAAAAAUCGUAAUUAAUUGAAAUCUUAUCCGUUUAGCUUGAGACAAGUUCCAAACAUUCUUCUAGUUUAAGAUAUUCAAAAUCUAGAAUCAAAAUCAAUUUGUACAAAUGGCUAUGAUUUUCGAAAUAACACUCUAUCAGCAUAUUUUUUGUGAAAUCUUAAGUUCUACUUCUAUUACCACUAUCUAACCAUGCUUCUCUAUAACAAUUAACACACUGUCAGCAUAGUUUCUGUGAAAUUUACCUCCAAUUCUCUCUCGACAUAAUAUCCAAUUUAAAAGCCACUACUUUGAUCUCAUGUGUCGCUCAUGGCUAACGAAGAAGAAGACUUUCUUUUUCUUCUUCUCUUCUUCUUUUUCUUGCGUUCUUUUUUUUUAACUCUCUCUCCCUCUCUCUCUCUCUCUCUCUCUCUCACAUUAAUAGCAAAGGAAGACAUCUAUUGGGGUAUUACAUGUUUACCCCUUAAAAGAAUUUCGUCCUCGAAAUUCGCUUUUAGUUAUGCUCAAAAGAGUCUAAACCUCAAAAUCACUUAUGACCAAUACAUCCUUAUAAAGACAAAAAAGAAACAUAUCACCCUUUCGUUGCGCUACUCUGAUACCUCAAUUAUAUAUUUCUUAGAAACAAAAUCACAAAGCCUAAAGGUGUGGCAUAGACCUAAUUCUAUUAAUCCUUACAACAUCCUUCCCAAGCGAUGCAGGAUGUCACAAAUGUCCACACAUUCCUGAUUGGGAAUGCUCUAAUACCAUUUGUAACAUCUUGGCCUGAACUCUAAGGACAAAUUAAUCUAACCAUAACUCACCUAUGUACUUAAAUAUCUCUUUAUAAUCAACAACAAUUCAAGCCUCAAAUACAAUAUUUAAAUAGCGGGUGACUUUAAAAAUUUUGCCAAACCAUCUACCAUCCUUAAUUUAAGUCUUCUUCUCACUCAUCACAAAUAAAUCUUGACUUUUGGAAAUUGAAUCACAAUAAACUAUAAUGAAUACAAAACUUAAUAAGCAAACUAGUUUUUCAUAUACAUAUAUACUAAUAUAUAAUACAAAUAGAUGAUAUGCCAUGAUCAAUUCAAAACACUGUAAAACAAAUUCAUCAAAAUCUCUUUCUGUUGUUUUCAAACUUUCACAUUUUCUUUCAAAAAAAUACAUAUGAUGCAUGUGGUAAUUUAUGCAAUCUGUGGUAUAUUGGACUAUGCAUAGCACUUCGCGGCACUCUAUCCCUCGAGAGGUGGUGUAACACCUUAGCAAAUCCUACAUUGACAAAGCACAGAAGAGAUGUUGGGUUUAUAAGAGGUGUUUCAUGACACGAUUCAAAAGUGUAAGAGUGUAAGAGUGUCUAGUUAUAAUAUAACCCGGUGAGUCUGAGGUCGAACCACUGGGAAUUUUAAAAUCUAGUUGUCAAUUUGUUAAACAGAGAAAAUAAUUGUACGGAAAAUAAAUUAUUUGAAAACAAUUUAAAAAUAUGCUAAGGUUACGAGAUCCACUUUCAGUAUUCAAACUAUAAUUUUAAUACUCACUCAUUUAUAUUUUGCCUCACUUUUACUAGUUAAUUAUUAUAUCAUUUAAUUCUAUGUGUGUGGAUAAAUAUGGAAUAAAGUACCUAAUAUGCCACACUAUAUUAAUGUGUCGACAUUAUGUCAAAAUACCAUACAAAUCCAAAGAAAUUUAUAAAUUAAUAUGACAUAAAAAUAACUAGAAAAGAAUAAAAUAAACUUAAAAACUCAUUUGAGAAAAUAAUCAAUUUAAUAGUUUGAAAUAUUGAGCUUCUCCCUUCACCUCGGCUUAAUAAAAUUUGCCACUCAUAUUGAAAGAAAACACAACACUCUUUUUAUUUGAUAUACUUUUGAAAUAUAUUACAAAGAAAAUUGAUACAGACGGAAGCAAGAAAAGAAAAGAAACAAAGAAAGAAAGAAAUUCUUCAGCUAUACCCUUGGCUAUCACUCUUUCUCAGAACUCGGCUCCGCCCCCUAAUGGCUUGCAUCCCCUUGCUUUUUAUAGGCAAGGGAAGCAUCUUCUUUUAUUUUAUUUUAUUAAUAUUAAUAUUUAAUUUAAUUUUUAUAUUAUAAAUAUGUUAAUUGAAAUGUGUGAUGGUCAGGAGGCGUAAUGGCCUCCUGACCAUCACCAACAUGCUUGCCAAUCCUUUUUAUUUAUUUAUUUUAUUUAUUUUUAAUAACAUGUCAUCGAUUGAUGAAUUCUAAAUUGCUCCAGUUGUCCUUCUUUGUUCCCGCUUUUAACUCUAAUUCCAUCUUUAGUCCUGAAAAAUAUUUACAAGAUAAAAAGUAACAUAUGCAAAUUAAUUUAACAAAAAAUAUAUUUGGGGAGUAUUAAAAUAAUUUAGAAAUAAUGAGCGCAUUAAUCAACACAAUAAGUGAAAAAUUAAUAAUUUUAUCCUUAUUAAAUGUACACUUUUUAGUGUCAAUCACACCGCCGAACCAGCUUAUUGCUAGGCCCUAGCAAUUUAAGCGAUAAAAGUUUACUAAAAUUUCAAACUCAAAUUGAAAAUCUUUUUUUUUUGAAAAAUUGUGUUUACUUCUUUCAUCUGAUUAAUGACAACAAUCAAAUAAAAGUAUAAUCAUUAUCUUCAGCCUAAAUAAAAUCACACCCGCACAAAACAAGUAAGUAAAAUCACGUAAAAUGAUCAAUUAUCAGAGCUACAUUAAUCAAGCCACUUUUAAGAAUGAUACAUCAAAUCUCAAAACCUCACAAUUAAGAGAGACUCUCUCAAAAGAAAAUAUUACCCAAAUUAAGUUGUCACUCUAAAAAUGGUAGAUUUGAGAGAAUAAUAAAAUAAUAUCACACACUCUCACCAAGAUGAAAAAAUAAUGCCCACAACUUCGAAAUAAAAUAAUCUCAAGUCCAAGGAAUUACUAGCAAAAUUAAUUUUUAUUUUUAUGCAUCACCACAUGUUUUAAUCCAUAUUACCAGCUUUUACUUCAGACUACAGUUCCGAAAAAUCGAGAAGGACUUUUAUUAGGACGUAAUGUAGGCUAGGGUUAUGGCUAAUAAAAAAGGUAAUAGGGAAAAAAUAUAUGUUUAAAAAAUAGGAGACUUUUUAGAUAUUACAAGGUGUUUUUUUUUCUUGGAAUUGUUCUCUUUUUUUUUUAAUUUUUAUUUUUAUAUACAUAUCCUCUUUUUUUUUUUUUUCAUAACACCAUUAUUAGAGAUGCAUAAUCAUCCCUAUUUUCAAACAUAAUUGGGUGGUGGAAAACAUAAUAUAUAAGGGAUACUCCACAUUGGAGUGGGAUAGGAUAAUAGGUUAUCAAAAGAAAAGUUUUUUUUUUUUUUCAAAGGCUCAAACGGGUUAACUAUGGAUUCUUUAUAAUAUGGUUGGAUAGAAAAUGCUCAAAUAGAUCAAAGAUGGCCUUCUGUCAUCUUUUAGGGCUCUAAAUAAUCUUUCAUAUCCACUAGUUCAAUGGACUUUUAGAUGUGGCUACACAAACUCUCUUUUUUUUCACUUUUUUUUUAAAAAAUAAUAUUGAGAUCUUGUACAAUAAAUUGUGAAGCUGUAUAGGCAAACAAAGUUACUCUCUAAGGAUAAUAGGCUCAAAUACUCGAUUGGACUUUUCAUAACAUGUACAUUCAUCCAAAUAGCUUAAUCAAAUUUACUCAUCAAAUUUCUCAAUUUACGUUUCAACAUGCAAUGGGGAAAACAUAGUGUAACAUAACUCAAGGCCAAAGAUAAUACAAAUACCAAAAUUUGAAAAUCGUCAUGUUAUCCAAUGUUAAAAGAUCACACCGAAAAAGAAAUUUUUUUUUUUGGUUAAAGAAACACUAAAAAAAUUGGGACUGAUUGCAGAAACUUAAGGCAGAUGAUUAAGAUAAAAAAGAGAAAAAGACAGAAAAUAAAAGGUUAGAAAAUAAUUUUUUUUUAAGAACAAAAUACUAAAAGUAAGAAGAUGCAUUUCUAGGGACACUAUAUUCUAUAUUUUGCUGUUUUCGACUCAAAUUUUAUCCAAAGUUAGUCUUUACAACAAAAAUUAGUAAAAACAUCACCAGGACUAAGAUAUUCCACAAUUGUCAACUACUCCCUCCCCUUAACUUGAAGGAGACAUUGUCCUCAAUGUCUAAAGAAAUGAAUAGAGUUUAGAAGAUAUCACCUGGCCACUGGGGAAAUAUUUACAAAUGGAGAGUUAAAUCUAAUUUAUAAUUUUUACGAGAGUUACUGCCAUCGUCAUCAGUUGCCCAAUCCAACACCAAAGUCAUGGGAUCUAGCUCUGGUUUGUAAGCUUGCAAAAGAUCAAGUAACUCAUUAGCAGUAGCAGUACAAAUGAAGAGUUUUUUCGUUGAGGGUGGAAUGAAAUAAUUUUUAAUUGCAUGAUUAAGAAAUGUUAUUAAGCCAUCAUAAAAGUUAUUAACAUUUAACAAACCGAUGAAUUUUUUAUGGAUAUUUAAAUGGGUCCAAGAAACAAAUGUAAUUAGUGCCUCUAAAGUUGCAAGAUCUCGUGGCAAGAAAAUGAAAGCGUCAGCAUGAUUUAAUAUUUCAGAUAUUCUUUAUUGCAUACCUGAGACAACUAACUCUUCUCCAGUUGGUGGGUCUAGUAGACAUCUUAAAGGUUUUAAGGUUUUUGGAAUGAUGCCUAGCACUUGGCUUCCCUGAACGAAAGCAGCUUCAGAGACAAGCUUUGAUAACCCUCGGUCACCUCCUCUAUAUACAAGAUGUAGUUUCCUCUCUGUUAUAGCAGGACCAAGAUCUAUGGCCGCCUGAACGAACUUCUUAUACUUUCCAUAACGAAAUCUAGAAAGCACACAAAUGUUCUUUAGUUGACUGCUUGAACUUGCUGCCAUUAGAAAAAUUAUAAAAAGAAACAAUUUGUGAGUGCUUGAAAAGGAGCUCCUAUUUAAGGAUCUUGGUGACAGACAUAAUGAUAUACAUCUGUAAAUGGGGUGGUGUGUUUGUCAAAUGAUGCGUGAAGCUUUUAGCUUAAUAAUUCAAAGGCAAACAGUAAAAAGAAAAAGCAAACAGUGAUUAGAUAUAAAAAAGACACACAAUAAUAAUAAUAAUGCAAAAGAUAAAAGAACAGUAAAAUAAAAGGAUAUUUACUAGUAGUUGUGAUUGUGGCUUAUAUCUUCCUCUGGUUUUACGUCUAGUAACGUCUUGAACUUUCUCUAUGGGUUGAGGAUAGGCUUCCCAUCCAGUUUUCUUAUAAAAUGACAAACAAGGUCUUUUAGAGUCAGAUUCCCAAGACUAAAUUGUGCACUUUCUUUUUGGAACAGCUUCCACAAAUUUUGAAAUUCACAUUGAACAUAUCCGCUCGGAUGCGUCUCAAGAGAUCGUAAGAUAUCAUUCAACGAUUUACAGAAACCAUUCCUAAAGUUUUACAACGUGGUUUUCUAUAAGUAAGUCUUACACAGUUAGGACAUUUAGAGCCAAGUCGCUUAGCUCUUCUUUUCUUAGCAAAUAUACUUUUACCAAAACCAGACAUGUAGGAAAUGAAUGGAUAAGAAAACUCACCUGCCAGUCGGACCUUUACUUCAAUUAACCAGCAAAUGUUUGCAGGAAUCCCAUUGAUCAUUAACAAACGUAGUCGUUCACAACGAGUUUUGUAAAUCUUCGUAAGAGCAUUUUGAGGGAGAGAAGGAAAAUGUUGAUGCAAUUUUCAUUGUAUUUCUUCCAUGCUUGACAUUGAGGUUUCAGUUAUUGUAGGAAACUGAGAAUAUCAACUUAAAAUGUCACGGUGUACCGUUAUCCGCCAUUUAUAUGGGAGAGUGAAUAAAAACAAAACGAAUGAAAUCUGCAAAAUCAAAUCAAAAGUGAAGAAGAACAACAAAAUAAAACAAAAACCCAUAAGGAAUAUAACUCACCUUUGUCCUUUUAUUGAAUUUACCUCCAGUUCCAAUUGCAUAUUGUAAAUACCAUCCUCUAUUUCCUUGAGUUGUCUUUGUAGAUCUUUCACGUGGGAUACUAACUCUGGUGGUUGUAGAUCCCAAAUGGGAUAUGAUUUACAAAAUCUGACCAAUUUCCUCAAGUGAAAUUUUACAUGUAAAAGUUCUUUAAGAUGUUCGAAAAUGAUACUUCUCAUGGAAGUACUCAUGACAAGUAUAACAAUUUGGUGAGCUAAAGCACAACUGUCAAACAAUACACAAUUAAAAACAAUGCAAUGCACUACAUUCAAGACAUAAGGAAAAGGAAAAAAUCAAAGAAUUCAAACGAUAAAGUAACAGUAAAUCAAAUUCACAAAAAGUUGAAAUGAAAAGGCUUAAUUAAAAUUUGGUGGGUCACUCAAAUUGAUUUCGGUAUCUGCUUCACGUGGUUGGUAUUGCAGAUAUGGUUUCAAUCUUUGGCCAUUAACUUUAAAUGUAGCACCAUAAUUUGGAUUCUCAAUUUGUACGGCUCCAUAUGGAUACACAUUUUUUACAACAAAUGGACCAUUCCACUUUAACUUUAAUUUCCCAGGAAAUAAAUGAAGACGAGAAUUAUAACGCAACACUUUUUGACCAAUUUCAAAUGUUUUCUGAAAAAUUUUUUUGUUAUGAAAAAGUUUGGUUCUUGCCUUAAUAAUUCUAGAAUUCUCAUAUGCAUCAUUCCUUAAUUCCUUAGGUUCAUUUAAUUGCAAUUUAUACACAUUACCAUCAUCAUCAAGAUUUGAAUUAAGAGCUUUAAUGGCUCAAAAUGAUUUAUGUUCAAGUUCAACUGGUAAGUGGCAAGAUUUUUCAUUAACAAGCCGAUAAGGUGACAUUUCUAAAGAUAUUUUAAAAGCAGUACGAGAUGCCCAAAGUGCAUCAGGUAGUCAAAGAGACCAAUCUUUACGAUUUGGACUAACUGUCUUUUCUAAAAUUUGUUUUAUCUCCCUAUUUGAUAAUUCAACUUGACCACUUGUUUGAGGGUGAUAAGGGGUAGCAACUUUAUGUGUAAUUCCGUAUUUCUUCAUUAAGAACUCAAAUGACUUAUUACAAAAAUGCUUACCUCCAUCACUGAUAAUGUAUUCCAAAUCUGCUCAAAAGAUUUUCUUUUAAAAAACGGAUCACAAUCUUGUGAUCAUUGGGCCGACAAUGAAUCGCCUCGAUCCAUUUUGAAACAUAAUCAACAACAAUCAAAAUGUAAACAAAUCCAAAUGAUGAUGGAAAAUGGCCUAUAAAAUCAAUUCCCCAACAAUCAAAUAUUUCAAUGACAAGGAUGGGGUUUAAAGACACCAUGUUUCGCUUUGAAAUAAACUCCACCAUUUGUCAAUUCUUACACACUUUACAAAAUGCAUGUGAAUCUUUAAAUAAUGUAGGCUAAUAAAAUCCACACUGUAAUAUUUUUGCAGCUGUCUUUUUUGAAGAAAAAUAGCCACCGCAUGCUUGAGAAUGACAAAAUUUAAUGAUCUUACUUACCUCGUCGUCUGGUAUGCAUCUUCAAAAAAUUUGAUUAGAGUAGUACUUGAACAGUAUGGAUCAUCCCAGUAAAAGCUUCUCACUUCUGUUAAGAAUUUUUUCUUGUCUUGGGAACUCCAGCCACAUGGCAUUUCACAUGUUGAAAGAUACUUAACAAUAUUAGCCUACUAAGUCAUUUUGUUUAUAGAAAAUAAAAAUUCAUUAGGGAAAAAAUUAUUGAUGGGUAUUGUUUCAAUUGAAGACUCAUUCGUAAGUCUAGAAAGAUGAUCUGUAACAACAUUUUCAACACCCUUUUUGUCCUUAAUUGCCAAGUUAAAUUCUUGAAGUAGCAAAAUCCAUUGUAUCAACCUUGGUUUGGCAUCCUGUUUUGACAUUAAAUAUCUCAGAACAUCAUGAUCAGAAUAAACAAUUGUGGAUAAUACGAACGAAAUUUAUUCAAUGCAAAUAUUAUAACAAGUAGUUCUUUCUCAGUUGUAGUGUAAUUCAUUUGAUCACUAUUCAAAGUUCUACUUGCAUAAUAGAUGACAAAGGGUUUACCUUUCUUUUUUUGACGCAGAACAGCGCAAAUGGCAUAAUUACUAGCAUCACAUAUUAGCUUAAAAGGUAAAGACCAAUCAGGGGGUUGCAUUAUUGGGGCUGAUGUCAAAAGAGUAGUUAUUUUUUCAAAAACUUGUUGACAAUCUUUAGUCCAUUCAAAAGGUGUAUCUUUUAUUAGGAGGUUACAAAGUGGUCUAGAUAUGGCACUAAAGUCUUUUAUAAACCUCCUAUAAAAUCCUACGUGUCCUAAAAAGGAACAUGAAUGUGGUCUUUUCCUGGUCUUCUAAGGCUAUAGAGAUUUGAUAAUAGCCAGAUAGUCAUCAAGAAAGCAGUAGUGGGGAUGUCCAGCUACUCUUUCAAGAAUUUGGUCUAGAAUUGGAAUGGGAAAAUGAUAUUUUCUAGUGGCAUCAUUUAAUUUUCUAUAAUCAAUGCACAUGCGCCAACUAGAUGGAUUCGUGUUGGGAUUGAUUCACCUUUUUCAUUUUUUACAAUGGUUAUUCCAGAUUUCUUUGGCACUACUUGUGUUGGACUUAUCCAUUUAUUAUCAGAGAUAUGAUAGAUAAUUCAUACAUCUAGUAGUUUAAGGACUUCAUUCUUUACCACUUCUUUCAUAUGAGGGUUUAGUCUUUUUUGUGGUUGAUGGUUUGUUUUGGCAUUUUCCUCUAAGUGUAUUCGGUGUGUGCAAAUUAAAGGAUUAAUGCCUUUUAUGUCUUUUAAGGUCCAACCAAAUGCAGUUUUAUGCCUUUUUAGUACAUAUAACAACUUACCUUCUUGAUCAUGCAUGAGCUGGGAAGAAAUUGCCACCGGAUAUGUCUGUUGCUCUCCAAGAUAAGCAUACUUCAAUUCUUCUGGUAAGGGCUUUAAUUCGAGCUCUUGUGCUUCCUAUUUGUUUGGUUCUUCAGGUUGUAUCGUAUCUUCAAAGUUCGAUUGGCUAUCGUCACCUGUAGGUACCUGCAUAGAAUCAAGUGUAGAACAUAUGUUAGCAGUAUCACAAUUUAAUUCUUUACUUGAUUCAAAAGAACCAGCAAAAUAAUUUUCCACAGAGUUUGUAAAAUUCUCAUCCUGAAUGUGUUCCUCAAUGAUUGGCUCGAUGAGAUCAAUCUCCUCAUUCUCAUUGUCAUUAUCUUCUUGGUGGUGGGGUUGUUUACACAUGUUGGACACAUUGAGUUCCAAUGUCAUGUUGCCGAAAGAUAAAUUCAUUCCUCCAUUCUUGCAAUUAAUUAAAGUAUUAGUAGUAGCUAAAAAUGGUCGACCCAAUAUAACAGGAAUUUGUUUGCAUUCAUUAGCAAUUGGUUCCGUUUCCAAAACAAUAAAAUCCACAUGGUAUAUGAAUUUAUCAACUCAGACUAAUACAUCUUCAAUUAUUCCUCUUGGAACUUUAAUCGAUCUAUCAGCAAAUAAAAGAGUGAUAGAAGUUGGUUUUAACUUAUUGAGAUUGAGUUGUUGGUACAUUGAGUAAGGAAGCAAAUUAACACUAGCACCAAGAGCAAGUAGAGCAUGUCUAAUUUUAUGAUCCCCAAUAAUGCAAGAAAUAGUUGGACAACCAGGAUCCUUAUAUUUCAAAGCACUAUUGGUCGAGAGAAUGGAACUUACUUGUUUUACCAGAAAAGCUUUCUUUUGCACUUUAUGUUCCCUUUUCACCGUGCACAGAUUUUUCAGAAAUUUAGCAUAAGAAGGUAUUUGUUUAAUGGUGUCCAGCAAAGGAAUGUUGACCUUCACUUGUUUAAAAACUUCAUAAAUUUCUGGACUGUGGUUUGAUUUCUUUGGCUUGAUUAGUGCUUGAGGAAAUGGGGGUACAGGAAGAGAGUUGGUUAUUUCUUCAUGGGUUAAAGGUUUGACAGACUCUUCCCUAUUUUCUGAAAUUAAAUCUUUGCUAGUUUCACGAGGGUUCACAAUGUGUUUUUCGACCACUUUACUAUCACAAAUGGUUAUAACCGAUUUGACUUGACUCAUAUUUUGGUUUCCCGAAUUUCCCAUUUGAGGAUGUUGUUGACUCUUGGGGUUUGGUUCAGGUUGAGCAGGAAACUUUCCUUUUUCAUGCAUGGUUGGAGCAGAUGUAAGUUUGCAGAUAGUUUAUGUCAAAUUGGUUAAGGUUUGCAUCGUUUGGUUAUUGAUCAACACUUAUUUUUCAAUAAACGAAUGCAAUGUGUCUUCCAGAGUUUUUCUUGAUGGUGGGACAUAUGGUGGGUAACUCUGGGGGUUUUAGAAAAUUUGACAUGAAAGAACUAGUUGUGAAGGCUGUGCAUGAUUUUCAUUUCUCCAACUGAAAUUUGGGUGGUUUCUCCAACCAGAGUUGUAAGUUUGGGAGUAUGGAUUUAGAUUUGGCCUUUUGAAAUUGUCAACGACAUUUACUUGUUCAUGCAAACUUUCUCUCAGAGCUGGCAAAGUUGGAUAGUCCUGCGUAGAAUGGUCAGUAGAAUCGUAAACAUAACAUGAAAUAUUUUGAACAGACUUUACAUUAUCAUUCUUUUUCAACUCUAAUGCUUCGACUUUUCUAGCUUAGGAUGCAAAUUUGGCUUGAAAAUCAUGGUCUUCCCUAAGGUUGUGUAUGCCUCCAUCAGAUGAAGAUGACUGUGGUUUAUUUGAUGACUUAUAAGAACCAACUGUAUUAUAGUGUUGUGCAUUCUCUGCUAUAUAGUCAAGAUAGUCUAAUGCAUCUUCAAGACUUUUAUCCCUAAACUCACCAUUACACAUCAUUUCAACGACUUGUCUAUCUUGAGAUGUUAAUCCCUCGUAAAAAUAAGACAUUAAUCUCCAUGUUUCAAAACCGUGGUGUGGGCAAAUGUUAAGUAGUUCUUUAAACCUAUCCCAACAUUGGUGGAGAGUUUCUCCUGGUUUUUGAGUGAAUAUAGUGAUUUGUCUUUUGAAAGAAUUUGUUAUGUGGGGUGGGAAGAAGUUUUUCAAAAAUUGUACUUGCAUUUCAUCCCAAGUUCUGAUGGAUCAUGACCUAAAAUUUGUAGCCAAAUUUUAGUUUUAUCUUUUAGUAAGAAAGGAAAAAACUUAAGCCUGAUUAUAUUCAUGCUACAAUUUUGAUCAGUACAUGUGUUACAGACUUCCUCAAAUGCCCUUAAAUGCAAACAUGGAUUUUCAGACUCAAAACUAUGAAAAGUAUGAAGAAGUUGAAUGAUAUCAGGUUUGAAAUUAAAACGUGAUGCAUCAGGAGGGAAAACUAUGCAUGAUGGUGACCUUGUUCUAAUGGGAUGCAUGAAGUCUCUAAGGGUCCUAGGUUGUUCAUGAAGAUUUUGCAAGGCUUGGUCAUUUUCGUGCUCUGAAAAAAUUUCAGCUCCUAUGUUAGCCAUAUCUAAGGGUGAUGAAGGUGAUCUCCUAAUUAAUCUGCCACUAUUUCUACGAGACCAACGACGCAUGCAAUGGUAAUGAUGUGUGCUAAACCAAUGAUGCAUAAAACGAUAAAUGAAAAUUGUAGAAAAUAAAAAUAAACUAGAAAUUAAGUUAGCAAAAAUACGAAAUAAAAAUAAACAAAUUGAAAAUAAAUAAAUUAGGCGGUGAAACCAGCCAUAAACAAAGAAAUUGAAAGAAACAGUUUAGGCGAUAUUUUAAAACCAGCCAUAUAAUAAAACAUAAAAUUAAAUAAAUUAAUGUACAAGAAUAAAUAAACUGAAAUUAAAAUGAUAGGCAGUAGAACCGACUAUAUAAAUAAAUUAACAAACUGAAAUUAAAAUUCUAGGCUAUAGAACCGACCAUUUAAAAUAAAUGUGGAGAGUAAAUUGUAAAAGUUUAAAGAAAUAAAUUCUAUUUAGGGACUGAUUUGCAAAGGUUUUUGGGCUAAAAUGAAGUUUGUCAUAAAUUUAUAGAUAAUGUUAAAGUUUGAAAAGAGGAGGGGCGCUAACUGAAGUUUUUCAAAAAGAGAAUAAAAUAGAAUUACGGAAAGAUAGAAACGACAAAAAAAAAAUUAAAAUAAAAUAAAGUAAAGAUAAGCUAACACCAAAUUUAGAAAACUACGCGAUAACGGCACCAAAAUUUUGACACGACUUAAAAGUGUAUUACUCACAAGUAUAAGAUUGUCUAGUUAUAAUAUAACCCGGUGAGUUUGGCGUCUAACCACAAGGAAUUUUUAAAUUUAGUUGUCAAUUUGUUAAACAAGGAAAAUAAUUGUGGGGAAAAUAAAUUAGUUGAAAACAAUUUAAAAAUAUACUAAGGUUACGGGAUCCACUCUCAGUAUUCAAACUAUAAUUUUAAUACUCUCUCAUUUAUAUUUUGCCUCAGUUUUACUAGUUAAUUAUUAUAUCAUUUAAUUCUAUGUGUAUGAAUAAAUAUGGAAUAAAGUACCUAAUGUGUCACACUAUAUUAAUGUGUCGACAUUAUGUCAAAAUAACAUACAAAUCUAAAGGAAUUUAUAAAUUAACAUGACAUAAAAAUAACUAGAAAAGAAUAAAAUAAACUUAAAAACUCAUUUGAGAAAAUAAUAAAUUUAAUAGUUUGAAACAUUGAGCUUCACCCUUCACUUCAACUUAAUAAAAUUAGCCACUCAUAUUGAAAGAAAACACAACACUCUUUUUAUUUGAUAUACUUUUGAAAUAUGUUACAAAGAAAAUUGAUACAGACGGAAACAAGAAAAGAAAAGAAAGAAAGAAAGAAAGAAAGAAAGAAAGAAAGAAAGAAAGAAAGAAAGAAAGAAAUUCUUCAGCUACACUUUUGGCUGUCACUCUCUCUCAGAACUCGGCUCUGCCCCCAAUGGCUUGCAUCCCCUUGUUUUUUAUAGGCAAGGGAAGCAUAUUCUUUUCUUUUCUUUUCUUUUCUUUUAUUAAUAUUAAUAUUUUAUUUUAUUUUUAUAUUAUAUAUAUUUUAUUUAUACAUAUAUGUUUAUUUUUAUAUUAAUAUUAAUAGUUUAUUCCAAUCUUUAUUUUAUUUUAUUAUUUUUAAUAACAUCUCCUCGAUUGAUGAAUUCUAAAUUGCUCCAGCUGUCCUUUUUUGUUCUCGCUUUUAACUCCAAUUCCAUCUUUAUUCCUGAAAAAUAUUUACAAGAUAAAAAUUAAUAUAUUGCAAAUUAAUUUAACAUAAAAUAUAUUUGGGGAGUAUUAAAGUAAUUUAGAAAUAAUUAGUGCAUUAAUCGAUACAAUAAGUGAAAAACUAAUAAUUUUAUCCUUAUUAAAUGUACACUUUUUAGUGUCAAUCAUUUUACAUCCUAAUUAGCAAGACAAGUUUUUGGGGUGUAUGGGCGCCCCAGAAAAAAAAAACCGUGUGGGUCUUGUUAAGGCCCAAAGCUGACAAUAUCUUGUCAGAUCUGGGUUGGGACAGAACAGAUGGUAUCAGAGCGGGUCUGCGUGUCUUCUUGAAUGAUGGUAGGCAAACGGCAAACCUUAGCGAGAAUGUUGAGUUCCUAAGGGAGGUGUAUGUAACACCCUAAGCAAAUCCCACAUUGACCAAACAUAAAAGAGAUGCUGUGUUUACAAGGGGUGAUCUACACCCUAAUUGGCAAGACGCGUUUUGGGGUGUAUGGUUGCCCUAGAAACAAAACCACGUGGGCCUUAAAGUAGAAAUAUCUUGCCAGGUCGGGGCUAGAUCAUGUAACAGCCCAAUUCUCUUAAGGGUAGUUUAGUAUUUUUAAUUUAUUAAUAUUUUUGUACCUUAUUAUAAAAAGAAUAAGAUGUUUUGCCUCUACUAUUGAUAAGAGAGAGAGAGAGAGAGAGAGAGAGAGAGAGAGAGAGAGAGAGAGAUUGGUUAAAAAAAAGAACAAAAGAAGAAGAAGAGAAAAAAAGAGAAAAGGAAAGGAGAAGAAGAAAGUCUUUUCCUUCAUAUAGUUAUGAGCAAUAAAUGAGAUCAAAGUAGUGUCUUUUGAAUUGGAUUUGUGCCGAGAGAGAAUUGGAGAUAAAUUUCAAUUCUUGAUCCUUGUUAAUUGCUAUAGAAAAGCAUGAUUAGAUAGUGGUAAGAGAAGUAGAACUUAAGAUUUUACAGAAAAUAUGUUGAUGGUAUGUUAUUUUGAAAAUCAUAGUAAUUUAUACAAAUUGAUUUUGAUUCUGGAUUUUGGAUAUGUUAAACUAUAUAUCUUCGAGAAUGUUUUGGAACUUGUUUCAAGCUAAUCGGAUAAGAUUUCAAUUAAUUACGAUUUUUUAAACUCUAGUUUGAAAACCUUGAAAUUUCUAAUUUCAGCGAAGAACAUGAAUUACAAAAUUAUUUUACCAUAACUAGACUUCUUCAAAAAUUAUGAAACUUGGAUCAACGAUUUUUAUAUAUGUCUAGUGUGAUUUUGGAAAUUUUCAUGAUUUUAUGAUAAAACAAUAAAUUGUUUGAUAGAAUUGAUGAUGUUUGAAACAUAAAUUAUUUUCAAUAUUUUUUGAAAGAAUUAAGCUAUGAAAUUUUAAUCAAUGAAUUUCUAGUAUGUCAGCAUAUGCUCUUGAAAAUUUGGGAUUUCUCCAAUAAGGUAAUAAUUUAUUAAAAAUCGGAGAACAUGGGCUGUUUUAUUUUGAGAUCAAAUAUUGAGAGUGUUUGAGGUUGACUUUAGAAGAUGUUUAAAAUGAGUAAUUUGAGGAUGUUGGAAUUAUGAUUAGGACUUGAUUAUAUCUUAUGAGAGUUAUAUUAAUGAUUUUUAGUUCGAUGAUAUCAAUACGCAUUUGUUACAUGUGGAUGCCAAGAGGUAAGUAAACUAGACUUCUAAAUAGAUCACAAUAAACAAUACGUAUAUGUUUGACAUGUUUGAAAAACCUAUUUUUGAUAUGUACGGAUAUGAUUUAUAUGUUUCUGCCAUGUGUUUAUGUGAUGUGUUGUUAUGUGUUGAGCGUGAUUAUAUACAUGGGCAUAUGUAUGUGUGAAAGUUCAUUAGCAUAAGCAUGAUGAAUAUGCAAAGCUUUUAUAAAAGUAUGUUCAGUACUAUUGCAUUCUAUAAGUCUAUGAUUUGUACAUGAACUUUGCUAUUAUAUUAAUGGUGCGUUUACUUCUUGGAUUAGGGAAUCAAAAUCCGAAAUUGGAAUCAUUGACAACGUUUUCUCCACAAAUAGAGUCGGGAAUCGAAAUCGAAAUUGUGGGGCCCACCACAAUGUAAAUGAGGAAUGGGAGACUCAUUCCCAAGGAAGAGGGUGGGAAUCAGUCUCCCAGUCCCGGGGCUAACCAUUUUGCCCUCCCUCAAAAUAAAAAAUGCCGCUUUGUCCUCAUUUAUAAUUAAUCAAUAUAUUGUUAUAAUUUAUUUAUUUUUUAUAAUAAUUAUUAAUAUAAUUAUUAUAAUUAAUUAAUAUAAUUAAUAUAAUUAUUACUAUUAAUUAAUAUAUUUUAUUAUAAUUAAUUAAUAUACUAUUAUUAUAAUUAUUAAUAUAAUUAAUUCAUGUAUUAUUAUUAAUUAAUUAAUAUAAUUAUUACUACUAAUUAAUAUAUUAUUGUUAAUAAUAUAUUAAUAAUUAUAAUUUUUGAAUAAAUAAUCACCAUAAUUAAUAUAUUAUUAUAAUUAAAUAAUUAAUAUUAUUAGUUCAUAUAUUUUUAUAAUAAUUAUUAAUAUAAUUAUUAUACUUAAUUAGCAUAUUAUUAUAAUUAAUUAAUUAAAAUUUUUUAUAAUAUAUUAAUAUAUUAUUGACAAUAAUUGUUAAUAAUAAUUUUUGAAUAAAUAAUCACUAUAAUUAAAAUAUGAAAUAAUAAUUAUGACAAUAAUUUAUUAAGUACUUUUUAGUAAUUUGUUACAAUUUAAUUCAUUUUGAUUCCGAUUCCAAGACAAAAUAAACACAUUAAUGGCAAUCCAACUCAUUCUGAUUUCGAUUCUUAUAGUUCAAGUAAACAACUUAUUUUCUAUUCCUUAUUCCUAUUUCAUCCCAUUCUUAUUCAUAUUCAUUUCGAUUCCUGCCCAUUUCAAUUUUAAUUUUGCAAAUGCACCAUAAGUUUCAUGAUAGUUUGCAUUGGGGCCACCUCUUAAAGCUGUAUAGGGGGCCACCUGUCAUGACCCAACUCAGACCUAGUAUGAUAUUGUCCGCUUUAGGCUUUAACAAGGCCUGCACGAUUUUGUUUCUAAGGUGCCAGUACACCACAAAACACGUCUUGCCAAUUAGGAUGUGGAUCGUCUCUUAUAAAUCCAACAUCUCUCCCGUGCUUUGUCAAUGUGGGGUUUGUGAAAUACUAACUAGGCAACCCAGGAGGGGGGGGGGUGAAUUGGGAUAUUAAAAGUUAUUUAAUCCUAAAACAAAACUCAAUGCAAAUCCAAAACAAAUUUAAAGCAAUAACAAAUAAAUCAAUCACAAUAUAAAAAGAUAAGGGAAGAGAGAGCAAACACAAUGAUUUUUACGUGGUUCGGCAAUCCCCGCCUACGUCCACGCCUCCAAGCUCACCGGGCUUGAGGAUUUCACUAAGCUAGCCUCCCAAGGCUUUAAACGCUUACAAUUGACUUCCAAGGUGUCAAUGGACCUUUACAACAAGAGAUUAUCCCCAAUCUCUUAACCCAAGUGUAUCCAACACUUACAAUUACUCAAAGUAAAAGAUUACAAGUUGUUCUUCUCUCACACAAUAUUUAAGAUUACAAAUCAAUGCCCAAUGUGUGAAUAGAUGAAGAGAGAAUGUGUUUUUAAAGCUCUAUGAAGAUUGUAUUCUCGGAUAUAGGCUCAAUGGUCGUGUUGUGAUCAACCUCCUUUGAUUUUGAAUGAGCUUAUUUAUAUCUGGAGCUGAAAAACUAACCGUUACAAACUGUCAGUCCGAAAACGAUUCGCCGUUAAUGAUUAACGGUUAACCGUUUAGGUUGGUUAAAAGUUACCAUUGAGCCAAAAUUCAAAUAAACGGUGUGUCGUUAAGGGUUACCCUCUCACCGUUAGUUUCUAGAGACUAGCAAUAUGAACAUCAGUUAUCCGUUUAAAGUAAACGGUUAAGGAUUUGCAUGAAGUGACUCCUCUGGAUAUUAUCGGUUGACCGUUUGUAAUAAACGGUUCACCGUUUGUUUCCAGUAACCUGCAAAACAAUUUAGCCUUAUCCGGUUUUGUUAAUCAAUUCCAGAGGAGGACAACCUUCAAUUCUGGAUGUUAUCGGUUAACCGUUUAAAUAAACGGUUCACCGUUAAGUUCAAGUAGCCUUCCCAUCUUUUGUGUUUUUCCAUUUUUCACAAACAGUUAGAGCUUUAGGCAAUAUGUUGCUAUCUGGAUGUUAUCGGUUAACCGUUUAAAUAAACGGUUCACCGUUAAGUUCUAGUAGCCUUCCCAUAUUUUGUGUUUUUUCGUUUUUCAUAAACGGUUAGAGCUUUAGGCAAUAUGUUGCUCUCUGGAUGUUAUCGGUUGACCAUUUAAAUAAACGGUACACCAUUUAUAUCCAGAAUUACAUUUUAAACCAUAUUUUACAGAGAAUCUUUUUCUAAUUUGAAAGUCCAUCUUUUAUGAAAAAUGAAUGGAAUGAUUAUUAAUGCUUUCGUUUAUUAAGGAAUAGGUCCAAUAUUUUUAUCAAAAAACCAUUUAAAAUUUGUUAUCGUCAAAAUCAAUAUUAUUAACAUAUUCAUGUUAACAAUCUCCCCCUUUUUGAUGAUGACAAAUUUCAAUCAAUGUUUAACUCCCCCUUAAUAUGUGCUCCCCCUAAAUGUAUGGCCAAAUUAAGAAAUGUUCAAUAAAAGGAUUUUUGCUCAAGAAAACAUUUUUAAAUUCAUUCUUAAUCUCCCCAUUUUAAAUCCAUUUUAAAUACCAUAAUUAUCUCCCCCUUCAUCAUCAAAAAGAAAAGAGAGAAUAGGAAAAACGUAAAUCCGUUAAAGAAAUUAUCCGGUGUUGGCAAGUGAAAAUUUUGGCAGAGUUUCCCCUUAAAAAGGAGCAAAACCACUAAUACAAAAUGAGAUUAAAACACUUCCAAAAUAGAUUAACACCAACUUCAUCUUUCAACAAACCAACAACUCCAUGAACAAACAAACCAACACUUCAAUAUCCAAUAAACCACAAAUUGCAUCAACCAAUCACCAAGUCAUCCAAUCAGCAAGAACAUCACAAACAUAUGUCAUCAAAAUUCAGAAAGAACAUAUAGAGGGAACAAUGUAUAUAAAAAUAUAAAUGCAAACAACCAAAAUGUAUGUGCGAAAACAGAACUCAGAAACUAUGGUGGUGGAGAAGAUGUGCUCCUCGGAUCAUAGCCGAAAUAGCGGAGAAGAGUGCGCUGUCCAGCGAUAAGCUCAAGCUGCUGGAAGGUCUGAAAUUCAGAACGUAGCUACUGGUGGUCACGGGAAAUAGUGUCCAACCGAUCAAGAAUCAGCUGCUGGCGCUCUGAAAUCGGGUGAACAUCAACAAUCAAUUGCUGCACAAUGUCUGAAGCAGGGGGCUGAACUGGAGUUGGAGGCGGCAUAGAGGCAGAUUGUUGCUCAGGAACAGCAGAUGGCUGCUUAGGAAUAGCAGAUGGCUCAGGAGCAGGAGGCGGCUCGGAAGAGGAGGGAAUGACAGCAUCCAUCGCACGCUCCUCAGAGUCAGAGUCAGUUGGAGGCCGAAGGACAAAACGGUGACGCGGAGGAUGAGUAUGAGCUCCUAAUCUAAAGUCCGGAAGCUGAUCGAGAGGAUAGAUAUCAUUGAGCAUCCGAUCGUCCUCUGGAGCAAUCAAGGUAUCCCGGUUUUUGGAGUUGCUUGUCUUUAUCCACUCUCCAUUCUUCCUAGAAAAACCAAUACUAGUCAUGGCCUUGGGACCAAUCCGUCUAGUCUCCAUAUAUCCAGUAUCAAGAAGAGGCACCUCAAAGCGUCGCAGUAUCUUAGUAAUGAUACUGCCAUAAGGAAGCAAGCGGUGAUUGACCGUGGGAAUACUCAACAUAUGCCGCACAAUAACAUACCCGAGGUUAAUGGGACAGUCUGUAAGUAGGCUAUCUAGUAGGCCAACGUCCAACCUCGUAACCUCAUCCGAGUGACCCUUUCUAGGUGUCACUAUGUGCUGUAAAAUAGUGUGAAGAAUGCAAACUUGGAGGGGUAAAAGUUGAGACAAAAAAGGAAGCAAACAAAUCUCUUCAGACAAGUCUCGACGACGACAUAUAUUGCGGAUGCCAUCAGUAUGACAAAAACUGUCAAAGAAAAGAGCUUUCCUAGAGGUGUAUAUAUCAUGCCUCUCACUAGAGAUACCAAGAAAGUCAGCUAGGUCCGCAUCAUUAAACUCUAUUGACACGACCGACUUGAGUAAUUAUCCUAUUUGGGCAAGUAUCAGAGAUUUCCAUGUUUGAAUAAAAGACUCGUACUAAAUUUGGAUAAACUCGGUCAUCAAGGUUAAUGGCAGGCUCCCAAGGCUGAAGCAUAUCCCGAAUGCUUCUACCAUAUACAACUAAGUUACGGAAAUCAUCAAUGUUAAUAAAGAAUGAGUCAAGUACCUUUCGACCGUUGAAGCGAUCUUCGAACCACUUGGCCAAGGAAGGUGUAGGGAAGUGAAUGCGUGCAAAUUCAGAGACUUCCCGUGGUGGUAUAGGAUUCCUUGGAGGCACAAAUUUACGCCUGAGAUUUCUCCGAGGGGGUUCAGCCAUGGAGAAACACAAUGGAGUGUGGAAAAUGCAGGAGAGAUGUGAUGAGAAGAAAAAGAAUCGAUGAUUGGCUUAUGAAUGAAUAGAGGAUGUGAGUUGGAUGCUUAAUUUGGUUGAAGAAGGGGAAGAAUCAGAUUAAAAACGAAGAAACUCGACCCGCGAUAGUUAGGGUUUCAAUUUGGGAUUUUUAAAUUUUGGGCUUGAUUUGAAGUUUUGAAUCGGUGAAAUUGUUCUAAAGGUGAUAAGAAAUGAUGUUGGAGGUUUGAUUUGGCAAGAAAAGAAAGAAAAAUAAGGGUUUGAAGGUAGAGAAACCUUCGGCUGUGCAACAAUGGCCGAAACAGUGAAAGGUUAACUGGAGAAGGAGAAGAAAAGACCUUUGAACAGUUUUUAUAAUCGCGAAAACGGUUAACCGUUUAUUGAAACGGUUAAGGGGUAACUUCCAGAAGCUAAAGAAUAGGCAACGGUGAAAGCUUAAGCGCUUAACAGCUAAGGAGCAACUGUUAGAGGACUCUCUGUUUUCAAAUGAUUCACCGAUUGUAGCAAACGGUGAAAGAGCAAACGGAUAGACACAUAAUCUCGUUUCUGGAAUUAAACGGUGAACCGUUUAUUGGAAACGGUUAACCGUUUAUUUUUAUCAGUAAUUUCGCACAUUUGAUUUAAUUUUUGGCCAGCAAAUUAUAUUCCAAGAUUAUUUAAUUGAUCUGAAAAUAUUUUAUGAGCCAUUUUAAUGGAUGAUUCAUGAACAUGUUUUCAACCAAUUAAUUCAUAUAAUCAAGAAUUAUCAAGGCAAAUUCAUCAUUUGACUAUCAAGCUCAAGCAUUUCACAAAUAUUAGAUCACAACUAAGUCAAUCAAUUCAGUACACUCAAUAACAUGAAUCGAGACGUUAAUGCAAAAAUUUCAUCAUCCCAAGUUCAUGCCGAAUUUUUUAAAAUUGUUCUUCGCAAAGUGGUUUUGUGGAAAUAUCGGCAAGUUGUUUUUCCGUAGAAAUAAACUCUAAUGCAAUAUCUCCCUUUUGAACAUGAUCUCUCAAGAAAUGAUGUCUUAUUUCUAUAUGCUUGGUUCAAGAGUGUUGAAUGAGAUUCUUUGAAAGAUUUAUAGCACUAGUAUUAUCACACUUAAUAGGAAUUUGUUCAAGAUUAAUGCCAUAAUCUCUAAGAGUUUGUUUCAUCCAAAGUGCUUGUGCACAACAACUUCCAGCAGCUAUAUAUUCGGCCUCGGUAGUUGAAAGUGUGACCGAAUUUUGUUUCUUGCUAAACAAUGAAAUAAGAGAGUGUCCUAGAAUAUAGCAAGUACCACUAGUGCUCUUCCUAUCCACUUUAUAACCGGCAAAGUCCGCAUCCGAAUAACAUGUUAAAUCUAUAUGAGUUCCUCUAGGAUACAAAAGGCCAAUAUCUAUGGUUCCACUCAAAUAACGGAAAAUUCUUUUAACAGCAAGCAAAUGGGAUUCCUUGGGACAUGACUGAAAUCUUGCACACAAACAUACACUAAACAUGAUAUCGGGUCUAUUUGCAGUCAAAUAAAGUAGGGAUCCAUCUCGAUACAUUUUGACAUCCACUUCUUUGCCUUUUUCAUCUUUGUCCAGCUUGGUUGUUAUGCUUAUUGGUGUAUUCUUGGUCUUUGAGUUAUCAAUGCCGAAUUGUUUGAGUAGAUCUUUUACGUAAUUGAGUAGAUUUAUGAAAAUUCCUUCCUCGUUUUGUUUGAUUUGAAGUUCAAGGAAGUACUUCAACUCUCCCAUCAUACUCAUCUCAAAUUCUUUGCUCAUACACGAUGAAAAUUCUUUACACAAUAACUCAUUAGUAGAACAAAAAAUAAUAUUAUCAACAUAAAUUUAAACAAUAAGUAUGUCUUAGUUCUUGUGCUUAACAAAUAGAGUAGUAUCCGCUUUAGCCAUAGAAAAAUCAUUUUCUAGCAAGAAAUUUUUAAGUCUAUUAUACCAUGCUCUAGGUGCUUGUUUUAAUCCAUACAAGGCUUUAAGCAACUUAUAAACAUGAUUUGGAAAUUUUUCAUUUUCAAAACCAAGGAGUUGUUUUAGAAACACUUCUUCCAUGAUAUAUCCAUUUAAGAAAGCACUUUUCACAUUCAUUUGAAACAAGAUGAAAUCUCUAUGACAUGCAAAUGCCAACAACAUUCUAAUUGAUUCUAGUCUAGCAACGGGUGCAAAAGUUUCAUCAAAAUCAAUUCCUUCUUCUUGGUUGUAACCUUGAGCCACUAAUCUAGCUUUAUUUCUUACAACCACACCGGAUUCAUCCAUCUUAUUUCUAAAGAUCCAUUUUGUACCUAUGACGGAUUGAUGUUCCGGUUUAGGAACUAAUUCCCACACAUUGUUUCUUUCAAAUUGAUUUAACUCCUCUUGCAUUGCCAUAAUUCAAGAUUCAUCAUUUUCCGCAUCCGCAAAGGAUUUGGGUUCAAUUUGAAAAAUGUAUGCAUUAUGCUCACAAGUAUUUCUAAGUGAUGAUCUAGUUGUAACACCUCGUAAGGGAUCACCUAAAAUUAUAUCUAUAGGAUGAGAAGAGACAUACCUCCACUCCUUGAGGAGUGUUUGGGAAAUACCUUCUUGUUGCUCCAUCUCCGUAUUUGUUUGCUCUUCUUGUCUAUCCUCUUGAUUUUCUUGUGAUGCAUUUUCUUGAAUCUCUUUCGAUGAUUCUUCUUGUAAAUCUCCAUCUGCAUCAUCAUUAGCAACUCCUUUCUCCGUAGAGCAGGGGUUAGACUCAUCAAACGUAACAUGCAUGGAUUCUUCCACAACUAAAGUUCUUUUAUUAUAAACUCUAUAAGCUUUACUUGAGUUUGAAUACCCAAGAAAGAUGCCAACAUCAGAUUUUGGAUCAAAUUUACCAAGAUUAUCUUUUGUGUUUAAAAUAAAACAUUUGCAUCCAAAAACUUUGAAAUAACCAAUGUUGGGUUUUCUAUCUUUCCAAAGCUCAUAGGGAGUUUUGUUGAGAUGAGGUCUAAUCAAUACUCGAUUUAAAACAUAGCAAGCGGUGCUGACGGCUUCGACCUAAAAAUAUUUAGGUAAAGCAUUUUCAUUUAACAUGGUACUAGCCAUUUCUUGAAUAGACCUAUUCUUUCUCUCAACAACUCUAUUUUGUUGUGGAGUCCUAGGUGAUGAAAAUUGAUGCUCAAUGUAAAAUUAUUGCAAAAGUUCUCAAAUGCAUGAUUUUCAAAUUCUCCUCCAUGAUCACUCCUAAUGCAUAUAAUAUCAUGCUCUUUUUCAUUUUGUAAUUUCUUAUAAAGCACUUUAGAAGCAUCAAGUGCAUCAUCCUUAUUGGCUAAGAAUAAUACCCAUGUAUAUCUAGAAAAAUCAUCCACUAUCACAAAUGCAUAAUACUUGCCAUUUAGACUAGCAUAUAUAGAUGGCCCAAAUAGAUCUAUGUGAAGGAGUUGAAGUGGUUUUGAAGUAGAGAUAUGGUUUUUAUUUUUGAAAGAGGUUUUGAUUUGUUUUCCAAAUUGACAAGCUUCACAAAUCUUAUUCUUUUGAAAACCAAUUUUCGGAAGACCUUUAACUAAAUCAUUUUUUGAAAUUUUCGAAAUCAAAUCCAUACUUGCAUGUCCUAAUCUUCUAUGCCAUAGCCAACUAUCAUCAUGUAAUGCGGAAAAAACAUUUAUCAAGAGUAGAUGCACAUUCUAUGUCAAUGAUAUAAACAUUACCACAUCUAUUACCAACAAACAAGAUUUUGCUAUCACAUGAGUUCUCAAUAACACAACUAAAUUUGUCAAAGAUAACUUUAUAACCUUUGUCACAUAAUUGACUAAUGCUAAUUAAGUUGUGUUUCAAGUUCUCAACCAAACAUACAUUCUCAAUUAGAGUUGAGGAGACUUUACCAACAUUUCCAAUUUCAAGAAUUUUUCCUUUUGAGUUGUCUCCAAAAGAUAUAUCUCCACUAUUUUCAAUUUUGGUGAAGUUUGAGAACCAUGCAUAGUUUCCGGUCAUGUACCUUGAACAACUGCUGUCCAAGUACCAUUUAUUUUUCUUCUUCUUUAAGCCCUACAAAGAAAAUCUCAAGUUUUAGGUACCCAAAACUUUUUGGGUCCUUGAGAGUUAGCAAUGGUUCCUUUUGGAACCCAAAUACAUUUGACACCAUAAUAUACAUUCCUUUUCACGGGACAUCCAUAUUUCAUGUGACCAUUUUGAUUACAAUAAUGACAGACAAUCUUAUGAUCAUUUGUGGAGGUAGCUUUAACAAAAUAAUUCUUAUAAUACUUUUGCUUCAAGUUAGGCUUGUAACCAAGUCCUCCUUUAUCAAAAACACAUUUUUGUGAAUUAAGCAUAUUAUCCAACAUCUUUUGACCAUUUGUAAAUUUCAAAACAAUUUCAUUCAAAUCAUUGCUCUUUUUCUUGAGCAUUUCAUUUUCAUUUUUCAAAUCAUCUAUGUGUGAUUCUAAAUGCUCAUGUGAGGUACUAUGCUUCUCAUUUGAUAAUGCAAGUUUAUCAUGCAAUGUUUUGUUCUCUACUUCUAGGCAUGCAAUUUUUGCAUUUAAAGAUUCAUUUUCAUUUUUAACUUUUGUCAUUUCCUUUUUAAGACAUACAUUCUUUUUACCAAUCUUUAUCAACUCAUUAUGCAAUUCUUCAAAAGCAUCAUACAAUUCAUCAUAGGUGGGAUCACUUACCUCAUUGAGAUUAUCAUCCUUUCCUAUUGCCAUAAGCGCUAGGUUUGAUUCCUCUUACAAUCCUUCUUCAUCACUUGAAUCUUCCUCGCUAUCAUCCCAUGUUGCAACCAUGGCUUUCUUCUUGAGUUUGAUGAUAAGUGGACACUCCGAUCUUAUAUGGCCAGGCUUCUUGCACUUACAGCAUGUGAUCACCUCUUUCUUCUCCCUUUGGUUCUUAAAGUUUCUGAAUUUUCUUUGCUCUCCAAUUUUCUUGAAAAACUUUCUGAACCUCUUUGCUAGCAUGGCUAACUCUUCAUCAUCCGGUUCACUACCUCCAUCACUCUCAUAUUUUGAAUCUUUGCGAGCGAUGCUUUUCUUCUUCUCCUCGUCUCUUUUUUUUACUGCCAAGUCUUCUUCAUAUGAAAUGAGAGAACCAAUUAAAUCAUCAAGAGGUAAAGUAUUUAAGUUUUUAGCCUCUUCAAUGGCAGUUCUUUUAGGUCUCCAUUCUUUUGGAAGUGACCUAAUGAUUUUCUUAACUUUCUCACUAUUUGAGAAGGUCUUCCCUAAGGCACCUAGAGUGUUCACUAUGUCCGUGAAUCUAGUAUACAUAGAAUACACAUUUUCAUUUUGUUCCAUUUGGAACAGCUCAUAUUGACGAGUGUAUCUACUGAUUUUAAACUCUUUAACUUGAUUUGUCCCUUUAUAGACAACUUCAAGUUUAUUCUAUAUUUCUCUUGCACUUUCACAACUAGAUACUCUAUGAAAUUCUUACUUAUCAAGGGCACAAAACAAAGCAUUCAUAGCCUUGGAGUUUAGAGAUAUCUUUCUCUUUUUUAACUCACUCCAUUGACUCGAUGGUUUAGGAAUAUCAUCUCCUACUUCAUUUUUAAACGUAGGCAUGAAUGGACCAUCAUAAACAACUUCUCAAAUUUCAUAAUCUAAGGCUUGCAAAUAGAUUCUCAUUCUAGUUUUCCAAUAAGCAUAGUCAUUACCAUAAAAAAAUGGUGGUCUAGUUGUAGAUUGCCCUUCUCUAAAGGUUGAGUCAUUUAGGGAUGCCAUGGAUCUUUUACUCUUAGACGAUUAAGUCCUAACAAGAGAACAAGGCUCUGAUACCAAUUGAAAUACUAACUAGGCAACCCAAGAGGGGGGGUGAAUUGAGAUAUUAAAAAUUAUUUAAUCCUAAACCAAAACUCAAUGCAAAUCCAAAACAAAUUUAAAGUAAUAACAAAUAAAUCAAUCACAAUAUAAAAAGAUAAAGAAAGAGAGAGCAAACACAAUGUUUUUACGUGGUUUGGCAAUCCCCGCCUACGUCCACGCCUCCAAGCUCACCGAGCUUGAGGAUUUCACUAAGCUAGCCUCCCAAGGCUUUAAACGCUUACAAUUGACUUCCAAGGUGUCAAUGGACCUUUACAACAAGAGAUUAUCCCCAAUCUCUUAACCCAAGUGUAUCCCAACACUUACAAUCACUCAAAGUAAAAGAUUACAAGUUGUUCUUCUCUCACACAAUAUUUAAGAUUACAAAUCAAUGCCCAAUGUGUGAAUAAAUGAAGAGAGAAUGUGUUUUUAAAGCUCUAUGAAGAUUGUAUUCUCGGAUAUAGGCUCAAUGGUUGUGUUGUGAUUAACCUCCUUUGAUUUUGAAUGAGCUUAUUUAUAUCUGGAGAUGAAAAACUAACCGUUACAAACUGUCGGUCCGAAAACGGUUCGCCGUUAAUGAUUAACGGUUAACUGUUUAGGUUGGUCAAAAGUUACCGUUGGGCCAAAAUUCAAAUAAAUGGUAUGCCGUUAAGGGUUACCCUCUCACCGUUAGUUUCCAGAGACCUACAAUAUGAACAUCAGUUAUCUGUUUAAAGUAAACGGUUAAGGAUUUGCAUGAAGUGACUCCUCUGGAUAUUAUCGGUUGACCGUUUGUAAUAAACGGUUCGCCGUUUGUUUCCAGUAACCUGCAAAAUAAUUUAGCCUUAUCCAGUUUUGUUAAUCAGUGCCAGAGGAGGACAACCUUCAAUUCUGGAUGUUAUCGGUUAACCGUUUAAAUAAACGGUUCACUGUUAAGUUCCAGUAGCCUUCCCAUCUUUUGUGUUUUUCCGUUUUUUAUAAACGGUUAGAGCUUUAGGUAAUAUGUUGCUCUAUGGAUGUUAUCGGUUAACCGUUUAAAUAAACGGUCCACCGUUAAGUUCCUGUAGCCUUCCCAUCUUUUGUGUUUUUCAUUUUUCAUAAACGGUUAGAGCAUUAGGCAAUAUGUUGCUCUCUGGAUGUUAUCGGUUCACCGUUUAAAUAAACGGUUCACCGUUUAUAUCCAGAAUUACAUUUUAAACCAGAUUUUGUAAAGAAUCUUUUUCUAAUUUGAAAGUCCAUAUUUUAUGAAAAAUGAAUGGAAUGAUUAUUAAGGCUUUCGUUUAUUAAGGAAUAGCUCUAAUAUUUUUAUCAAAAAACCAUUUAAAAUUUGUUAUCAUCAAAAUUAAUAUUAUUAACAUAUUCAUGUUAACAGUUUGCUUAGGGUGCUACAUACACCCUUCCUUAGGGACUCAGAGUCCUCACUGAGGUUUGCCACACCAUCGUUCAAUAUGACACAAGGACUCGCUCUGAUACCAUCUAUUGCGACCCAGUCUAGACCUGGCAAGAUAUUGUCUGCUUUGGGCUAUACAGUUUUGUUUCUGAGGUGCCUAUGCACCAUAAAACGUGUCUUGCCAAUUAGGGUGUGGAUCACCCCUUAUAAACCCAGCAUCUCUCCCGUGCUUUGUUGAUGUGAGAUUUGCCUAGGGUGUUACACAGUACCCUAUUUCAAAAUGAGUUGUUAGUUUAAUAAACUUGUGGGUUCCUCUAAUUACAUACCUUGUUUCGAAGAAAUUACAAUAUUCUCAAUAGUUUAAUUUUUCUUUAGUUACCUUUAAGUGAAUCCUUUAAAAUUUAUGUGAAGCUGAAAUGAUUUGUUCAAAAACAUGUAUUGUUGGAAUAUGUAGCAGUUGGUUACUUGUCUGUUGCUGCCUUUGACAAUUUUUAUUAGAGGAAUUUCAUCAAACAGAUCGUGCAUGUCUACGAAAAGUAACUAAAAAAUAAAAAAUGCAAUAAAAACAGUGACUAAAAGCAAAUAAAUCACGCAUGACCCAACAUCUAUUAAUUUAUUCUAAGUAAAAGCCCCAACACAUUGUGAACAAAGGAAGAAAAUGAAAAAUUACAUGUAACAGAGUAAAGAAAAACUCAAAAAAAUAAACAAUGCAUAAAGGAAAAUGUCGCCGUUCUUGGAUAUUUUAAACACAAAGAUAGAAGAAUAGACGUGUAUGAAAAUGGCUGGUGUUAGAAUCGUGUCGAUGAAAAUUACGGAUGUUGGAAUCACAUCAAUGAGAACCGCCAGUGUUGGAAUCGUGCUAAUGGGAACAACAUUUAGAGUUUGUUUUAUGGAAAAAUUGAUUUGAAAUUAAGUUUAAAAAUGAGGAGAAUAAAAUUGAAAUUAAAUAAUAUGUAAGGGUAAUUUAGUAAUUUAAUAUACAGGUGGGAAAAAAUCUACUGAGGUGUCAAAGUCCAGCUACAAGGUGUUACUAUUGAAAAUGAGGGGAUGAUAUAUGGAAAAAAGAAGCUUCAUUUUAAAUUAAUGAACAAAAUUAUUCUUUCACAAAGUAUUAAAAACAAUAAAAUACUAUUACAUAGCUCGGAAAGUUUGUAUUAAGUUAUAGAAUUAGGUGUCUCUUAUAUAUAUGUCUUCCCAUGAAUAAAAGCAUGUGUAUUAAGUUAUGAAAUUGUGGAUUAUUAUACCAGUCUAAUGGCUCUUUCCCUUUCAACAUUAUUGUACGUAUUUUGCAAGGAAACAUCCUCUAUCUUUCUUUCAAUUAAUGUCCAAUUAAGACUUCCGCGUGCCCAAUUAAUGUCAAUCACUCAAUUGUUUUUGAACGUGUACAGGAUAACAACUUAAAGACUUUAGAGGGCCAGCGUUAAUUCAAAGUCAAAACUAGGUUAUUACCCUACAUGAUUCUUGAUAGUGAGGUGAAAAAAAGGUUGAAAAGGAUUCGGAUUUAAUCUUGAGUUUAGUUUUUAUUGAGCACUGAAUUAAUAAUUAAUAUUUAUUUUGUAUUUUUAUUUAUUUAUCUUACUUAACAACCAUUUACUUAAAUCCUUGUCCGGUUGAAGGAUACUAGAUAAAUGAUUUUUAAAACUUUAGUUAUUUUUGUGUAUAAAACAAAAACUUUAAAUUAUUUAGUUUCAAAAGAGAGAAAAAAAAUCUAGACUUUGACCUGCUUGGGAAUAAAUUAUAUUUGUUAUUUAAAAAAAAAUCAUACUAUGAGAAAGAGAAAAUAUAAGUGGGGUUAAUUCUAUUUGUAUGUCCUUAAAUAUAAUUGUAUAGAAGAGGGAUUUUAUAAUAUUAAUGAAGGGGUGCCAAUACUCCAACCUUUUCUCAAUUUUUUUUUUAAUUUUUAUUCAUCUACCCAAUGGCUGAAUUUAUUUUCAUUAUUAUGUAGGUGUGGUGUUACUAGAAAUCAAAGAAUAGGAUCCUCUCCUGAUCUGAGCCCUACUGAGAUUUUAAAGAUCUUCUGUCAUGUGUCAUUUAGUGGUAGUGUAGGGAUAAGAUUUAACUUCUUUUACUUUUUUAUUUAUUAACUACCAAUCAACAAUUGAAUUAUUUGCUCAGGACAUAAUCAGAUCAAGAGAGAAUCUUGAUCCAGAAAUCAAAUGCUGCCUUUUUUUUUUUCCCCUCCUCUCCUCACUUGUGGUGGAAUAAGGAGAAUUGAACCAAACCAAUAUCCUAAUUACUAACAGAUUUGAGACAAAAUUAACAUUUUAAAAUAUUGCAAACUGGUAAAAAGUCAAACUUUUAUUUGCUACAUAAAUAUAAUCUACUUUACAUAUUAAUAUCAAAUUCGUUAGGUUAAAUUCUAGGUUCAAAUCCUAGCAGCGAAAUUAAUUUCUUUAUAGCUGGCAAACAUAUAUGCACUUUUUUUUCUUAAUUUACGCAGAAGUUUGAGUUAAACUAGUAAAGGAAUUAUUUUCUAAUUAACUUCUUCUUUUUGAUUUUGGAAAAAAAAAAUUGAAAGAAAGAUAGGAAGCUGAAAUUGAAGCCGAAUCAACUGGAGCUGCAUCAAGCAUCUUUUGAAAUUCUUCUUCUUCUUCUUUUUUUUAAAAUUUUUUAAAUGUUAUUGAGGGCAAAUAAAGUCUAUAUGCUUAAUAUUGAACAUAAUUUUUAACAAAUAAAAACUAACACUGACAUUGUGCGAAAUAAAUUGUUUAUAGCUUAACUGGCCCAUUUAGGAUAGCUGCGCCGCCAAACAGGGCUUUGAUUUUAUUGCUAUAAGUAUGCAUUAGAUAUUUUUAAUAGAUUUUCUUGGGUGGGCUGAAUGGUUAAAUAAAUUAAUUUAAAUGAUUUAAAUAAGAUUUUUUUUAUAUUUUAAAAAUUUAUAUAUUAAAAUUUAAUAUAUAAAUAUAUAAAAUAAUAAAGUGUUUAGAAUAAUUUUUAGAGCGCAAACAGUCUUACUCAUUUUAUUUCAUUUUAUUGUUAAUCAAGACUUAAAAGAGUCACUAAACUAAAUCUCCAUUUUCCAAAUCUUUAGGAAGAACGAGAAAAGGUAGCAAAUGCAAGCGAUCCACUGUUCAUCAAUAUUAUCUGGUGUUGUUGCAGAUCAUUUUGUUAUUCUGGUCCAUCAAAGCAUCAAAACAAUUUGCUUGUAAAAAUGAUUGUGGAAAUGUGCAGAUCAUAUUCCCCUUUGGAAUUGGAGAAGUGUGCCACUUUGGUAAGAGUUAUCAAGUAAUAUUCACUCUUCUGGCUCUCCCAAAGCUUUUCAUCCUAGUAUCAAGACGGAAUAUCGUACCGUUACUCCGAAACUAAAACUAGAGUCAACAUUCCUGUAAUUUCUUUGCACACAGUGCUAUACUGCUAUUGCCACAAGCAAUAAUAUUGCUAGAAGAGUCAAUCUAUCUGGUGGUCCUUUCACCUUUCCCUAGGGGCUCAGUAAUUUACAGCUCAAUUUGUUUUAGGUUCAAAAUUGAUGAACCCGCACUUAAUAACUGUACAAAUUGAUAACUUCUUGAUUUAUGAGGACAUAGAAAUUUUGGAACACUAAAUGCAUUUUUCUAAAUUAUGAGAGCUAUUACUGGUUAGGCAUUUCUAUUGUUUGAAGGACAAACCUGUUAGGAACCAGAUCUAGAUUCCUCAUGCUUUGGUCAAACCAUUGUGUAAUUGUGGGACUGGCAAUUCCUUUUCUUUUGUCCCAGUGUCAGUGGUCAUCAAUGAAGAAAAAAUUAUGAAGCUUGUUCGCAGCCUGCUGAAUCUUAGGUUGAAAUAGAGUUGCCUUCUACAUUACUGGAAAAUCUGAUUUUUGUAACUUAAUGAUAUUCUAGUAGUCUGCCUAGAGACCAAUGCAUACUGAUUAAACAACUGGUUUAAAUCAUUAGGGCAUGAUCAGCCCGUUAUCUGGCACUCUUAAACACAAUAGGCAGGGAGGCUUUGGGCAAAUCAUAUUCAAUGAUUAGAAAUGUUCAAAAAUUUCAAGAUAACAAAUACGCAAGCGUUUCAAUUGGACAUAAGUAUUUGGGUUUCUAGUUCUAAUAGAAGUUUCUCAAAGCUAUAUUCUAGUCACUUUACUAUUCUGAAUCAGAAUCAGAACCAGAAUCAGCGGAUGUUUUUCAUUGUAAACUUUUAAUAGAUCUCUUACUUAUUAUGAUUUUAAUCCAAUGAUUGAACUGGAUAAGAGAAAAGGGCUAUGGUCAAUAGGUUCAAUUGGGCUCCAAAUGGCAAUCAACUCAUGACAUUGCAUGAAAUAUACAGCAUGCUUCUUUUGAAAUAUUAUAUAUUCAAAAAUUUAGUGCAUAUAUGCUUAUAUUUGUAUAUUUACAAUGCAAUGCAUAUUAAUAUCAAGGAGGCAGAAAUUGAACAUAUACAUUCAUAAUGCAAUUUUUGAUAAUGGUACGGAUUUUCUUUUCUGGGUAAUAACAUUCAGGGAAAAGAAAAAUAAAUACAAGGUUAAGACAAUCUAAGACAUGAAGCCAGUGAAGCAUGGCUUAGGACAUGGUCAAGUUGUAAAAACUAUGGCUAGGACUAUCUAAUACAUGAACUUGUACUGCAAACAAAUUUAACUGUGGAUGUCAUUGCUUAGGAAUUGGAACUUCAAACAAUGUUCUAAAAACAAUUCUUUCUCCACUAGUUUUUCUCACCCUUUUAAUAUCGAAAGGCAUGGAAAUGGUAUAAAGAUGAUUCUGUUUGUGGUAAGAUUCCUUUCAGGCUAAUUACUAUUUGUGACGUGGGGUGCAGGAAUAUCUAGAAGAAUAUGUUGGAUCUUCUACUAGAAGAGCAAUUUUAUAUCAAGUAAGAACUCUUGUUUUCUAGAUGAUCAUAUAAUUUUAACAAACCUGCUUCCCUUGAAUUUGGAGUAAGAUGCUGUUAGUCUUUAUAUCUCUGGACUUUUCAGCUUGGGUCUGUUCAAAAUUGAGCAUCCAAUAAAUCAAGGCUGACAAAGUUAUCUAAGUCAAGUGAAAUGGUCAAUUAUUCAGUUUUUGGUCUGUUGCCUACAAAAUUAAGUUUUAGUUUUGCUUGCUAUCUGGCUUUUGGUAUGUAGCGUCAAGAGGCUGUAGUUAGAUAACCAAGUAUUUGGUUGACUAUUUCGAGAUUUUUCUUUUUCAAGGUUUGCUUUUUCAUUGGCACCCUCGAUGGAAUCGAUAUCAGUUGAGUGAUUCAGUUGGGCCUGACAAUCUUAGGCUUUCUUUUGGUAAUGGAUAUUUAUUUUAAGAUAAUCAUUGUAGUUUCCUUAACUCGUUACAACAUUGACAAUAUUUAAAGUUCUUAUUUUAUAUAUACCUAUUUUCAAGGAAAAUGCCGAUAGCUUGACCUCAAAUAUGUUACUCACAGGAAAAUGUAAAAGGUAUAUCAGUAACUGGGAUGCAGUCUAAUUAUGGUUUUGAUGGUCAAAUCCACGCCUGCUGGAUGCAUAAAAUGACACAAAAGACAUUCAAACCAUUCGUUCAGCUGGAUUUCUUGUGUCACUGAUUCAUGGCAGGUACAUGAGCAACCAUAAUGCACAUGAACAUAGCUGUAUAAUUGUGUCUAAAUUUAUAUUAGUAAAGUGACAUGCUUUAUGAUUUUAUUAUUUUAAGAUACUUGUAAAGGAAUAUGCAUAGGGCAUACAGGAAUGACAAUUGUUACAAAAUUAAACUUCAUUUUUCAAAUGUCAUUUAGAUGAGUUGAAGUCUGCAAAAUGUUUCUUUAAUAUCAUCAAACUGUUUCACGAAUUAAUAAACUAUAUAAUGUCAAUUAUCAUAAAAGAAAACAAUAUGCUUAUAUAUUCUUGGAUUCUGUAGAUAUAAUGUUAUGAGAUAGGCUCCAAAUACUGAUGGGAAAUUAAAACUGGGUUCUUCGUGAAAAAUAAAAAUAAAAUAAAAUAAAUUGGGAAAAAUUACCUGAAAUGGAAGUCCGUGCUGUGCUUUAUAGUAAAUUGUCAAAGUUUGCAAUCAACCUACAUUUAAUAAGGAGAUGACAGGAUUUGGCAAGAAUUUGGUAUUUUCGGAGUGAAGAGUAUUAGUUUUGUGUCAAUGCUUUUCUUAAUCUCAGACGAUCAAGAGAAUCGUUAUUUCAUUCAUGCACAGACCAGCACAAAGAGAAAACAAAUGUAUACACAUGCAAACUUGAAAAUAGGUUAAUAUACAUCGAACUUAGAAGGUCGUGCAGGAGCCUGGUCAAUAUUUUGGGCAUUUCUAGUAGUGAUACAUGGAUAACUGAAUGUUACAUAACUGAAUUUGAGCAAAAAUGCUAAUUCGCUCCACUGAAUGUAUAGGCAUGAUAUCAUUGCACAAAUCUGUUAUGCAAGGAGACUAGCAGAGAAGCUGAGCCCUGUUGCUAGAAUGAUAGAUCUUCCUGGAGGACAUCUUGUAAGUCAUGAGAGGACAGAAGAGGUAUUUCCUUUGCCCAACAGAUCAGACAAAUAUGCAAGUAGUCCAAUUGGUUGUGUGAGACAUUUACAAUUAAUGAAUUAUUAAAUGGAGUACAGUUGUGCAAACUAAUUGGGAAAGUUUUCUUAUCAAAGUCAGUAAAAAAUUGUCAUAAUCGAAUUUGAUUGAGACAAAAGGGUCCUUACAUUUGUAUUAUGGACAAAAAUCUUCCAAAUAUUGAGGAUUGACCUUGAGUGACUCAAGAUUUUUGAACAACUGGGAUUGAAUUAGAUCUUCACGCGUAAAAUAAUGUUAUGAAUUUAUUGGUAGAAAGAUGUCACAAUGCUUCUUGAAGUUUUACUUUCCUAAAUUACUAAUAUUUGUUUAAUUUUACUUGGCUACAAAUUAAGCAUAUAGACGUUAAACUCUUUCUUGAAAUUUCAGGUCAAUCAAACUCUCAUCGACUUGAUCAAGGCAUCUGAAAAGAAGAUAAGCCCACAAGAUUUGACUAAUCUGCCCCAGACAAGUUCUGGUAAGCACGCCACAAUCAAGAUAGUCUUUCUCUUUUCCAUGUUAUGUGUGGGCAAUAAUGUUAGAGCAUACUUACCUAACAUGGGUUGAAGCUUUUCAUACUGAGUUGUCUAUGAAGAUAAACUCGUGGUUAAUCCAUAGAGUUCCCAUUUUUCCAAUAAUAUGUUCAUGGAUUUGGAAACCUAAGAGUUCCAGAAGGACACAUGAUAACUACUUAAGAGAGCUCAAAUCAACACUGAAACUUUUUCCAGACACAAAAAUCAUCAGUGGUCAACUGAUUUUCAGCUAGGUUAUCUUCCUCUCUGUCUGGUCAGGAUUGAGAGGGAGACAAU